rnacentral:lncRNA from 1 species
UUGUUAAAAGAAAGCCAAAGUAUUCAAUUCUCAUACAUUUAACUCAUCCUGGUUAAAAUGUAACUUCCUAUGUUGAUGUCCAUAAAUUUCCUCAAAAGAGCUUGCGAAUUGCAAAAGUCUCCACCAAUCAUCUUAAAAUGGCACUCUAAACCGGCUCCUAUGAUACUUUUGACAGGUACAGAUAUACUGCCAGGAAGGGCAGUAGGUAUGCAUCAUGGACCAUGAAAAUGCUAAUUUCAGUAAUCAAUUGACAGCUUUCACGAACUGCAAACUUCUUGGACUAUGAAAAUGCCAGUUUCUAAUAAUGAAAUGACACUUUCACGAUCUGCAACUUCUUAUUGAUUAAUGAACAUUGAAAAGUAAGUAUCAGCCCAAUCUUGCCUCUCUUCGUAGUACCUGGAAAAGAUGUAACACUCAACCAUAAGUGGCAGAAAGUACUCCAGGAGUCGCAAGAAAAAUUUCCAAAUCACCUUAGCAUCUAACUACAGCUCAUCCAUCAUUUAAUAUGUGCUCAAAACCCACAAAAUGAACAGGUCAAACAAGCUAGCCACUUAAUAAUAUGGGGAAUAUUUACGAAAAACUGCUUGAAAGUUUAUCUAGUCUAGGUGGCAGACAACAAAGAAAGGAAGAAAACAUGCUGUAGCCUUAGAAUUAACUGAGUUUUCAUCAAAAUUGAGACCAAUGCCAUUCAAACGUCAAUAGAUUAAAACUUCUCAAGAACAUUAAUAAAUAUUGCUCACUAUAACCUAAUAUUUCAGGCUAGAGACUAUCAAGCUGGGAAAAGAAAAGCUGGAUUGGCUAAAUAAUAACUUAAACAAUUAAAGUGAGUCGUUUCAAGCCAGUUAAGACAAGGUGAGAUCUGGAAUCUGUACAGUAUUAAUGAACCCUAAAGCCGGAAGAGGUGAUUCAUCAUUUCACUAUUUUAGUGAAAGAAUUAACCAAAAACAAUUAUGAAUAAACCUGUAAAAAACCAGCAUCCUGAAUAAUUCACUUUAUUCCUCCAAAAAAAGAAGCAAAAAAUUCUCGUUUUUGAAUAAGUUACAGGUUACUAUGUCUUUAAUUCUCAGACUUGCUAUGUGGAAAGCACAAAAUUCAAUAUUAAAAGACAACUACCAACAACUGCAAUAUCUAAGAUAGCAUGCCCCUUUUGAGGCCAAUCUGCCCUGUAAAAAGAAUUGAUCAAAAAGCAGACUCAACAAGAGUUGGAGUAUGCACCAAUUAUAAAACCUGCAACUUUUGUAUUCUUAAACCCCAAGCACUUUCUAAAAGAGAACUAAAGGAACAUGGGAGCCAUGCUUAAAGAAUGUAGUGUCAAACAUUUUGUACCUCCUCAGCAAAUUUUAUCAAGAUGGUUGUUCGAGGUCGCUGCUGUCCUUCAACAGGAACAAAAUGAGCUGUUACCACAGCAGGGAAACCUGCAUUAUCCAAAACUCCCUUCAAAAGAAAAAGCACAUCAACUAGAGGCCAACUCCAAAAUUAUCAAUAGGUAUUUGUACCAAAAAGAUAAAAAUGUAAGACAUACCCUUACAAUUCCAGCAACAAAAGCUCCGCAAUUAAAAGUACCCAUAUCUUUGGGAAUUGAUAUAAAUCUAGAAUCAAAUGAAUGCAUGUUAGCAGACCAUUAAGAGGACAGCUAAUACAAAUCAGAUACAAGCAUGCAACAAAGGGAGAAAGAUAACCUGUUGACCAAAAGUUCCUUCUCGCUAAUCAUGUAUUCAUCUUCAUGUUCAGUACCUUUCUCAAGAGAGUCAGCUACCUGAAAUUUACAUGGAUAAGAGGAUAAAAGAUGCAUUCAUGUCCCUUUCUAAAACAACUACGUCUUCAGAAAAUUCUCACCAAUACAGACAGUAUUGGUGUCUGAAUAAUAAUAAUAAUAAUAUGCACAUGAAAAGCUUAAUAUAAAGGUGUCUGAUAUUACAAGUUGAUUAUGUGGAGGACCAAGGACAGAUAUGAUGAAAAUGCUCCUUCUGGACAGUAGAAGUCCCUUACAUACAUUAUGAUCUAAGGCACAAAUUUGUGUGCACCCAGCACUUUGAAGCCACCAGUAGCAAAUUCUUGUCAGUUCUUUUAUUACACAACCUACUAAAAAUAACUCUUCAGAUUGUCAACCCUGACACAAACUCCAUCGUUAUUUAAGCUUCGGAAGCAACGUGCUUUCUAAACUGGAGUUCAUGCUUUUAAAAGAAGAAGUUAGCAGAGAACUAAAGAAACAUUAACUUCAACCACAUAGAAAAGAAGAUCGGUUAGCAGUGAUAGAAGCAUGCUAAAAUUUUCCAAUCUGUAUUGAUACAGUUUUUGUGCUAUGUAGACCAUCAUUUACAGAUGUGAGAAUCUAAAAAGAAGAUAAAAUUAUCACCUCAGAUGGCUAUCUUCAGCAGUAAAGUCAAAUUGGUGGCUUUACCAGUUAGAAAAGUAACACUAAAAUUUUGAGAUGUAAAUAAGCAAUUUUUCCGCUAAAUGCUUAAUUCAGGGUAGCAUGUCUUUUUUAAAGCUUGUGCCAAAGUUCUGGAUUUGAUUCUUCUUUCCAGUAGUAACGCUCCACAGCUGUACUUAAAUUAAACAAAAGUGAAUGGGUGAAGCAUCUUCAUAAAAUGCAGAUAUGCUAUUUUCCAGGUUUACUUUUAUGUGCACAAGUAACAAGCUGCAGAAUAGUUGAAGCAUAAACGCUACAAUAAGAUUAUGCAAUUUAUUAUUAAAGUCGGAAGAAACUUUGUUCCCAUGUUGUUGCAUUCAUAUUGAAGCAAUUUGGUCUCUGCAGAUCCCAUCUCCAAGGGAUCACCAUUCAACAUAAAAAGUGGCCAAAGGUUGUCAUUUUACAAAUACAGAAUAUAAGCAACCUUACAGUCAAUAUGGUUUUUCAUUGACUUGCAAACUCAUAGUUUUGCAAUCUUCUACAUUUCAUUGCGUAUGUUUAAACAAAUAUUUGGGGAUUAGCAACAUAUUGAAAUUUGAAAACACUCAGUGUAUCUGGAUUAUUCAUUUGAAUAUGCUUCUUUGCGGAUUGUCCUGAUCUGACAAUUGAAUACGCUCUAGCAAAAUAUUGGGCAGAAAAACAUAUCAAGGGCAUGCAACAAAGGCAUUGAGGGGACUAUAUAAAAUUAUACUACAAGAAUUUCAGUUUCUCAGUGCUCUAUCUAAUUUCUGAAGCAGUUAUCCUAGAUUUUCAUUCUCAGUAUAGGUCAAAUCUUAAAACAGCAAGCUGACAUAUACUGUGCCGUAUGAAUCCAAAACCAGCAACAGUCUUGAUAGUUCGGAGCUGGAAAGUUAGGUUAAUCCUUACUCAACAUCAUGAACUCAGAAAAAAUCCCAAACUUAAUUACCUGAGAAAAUAGUCAAUAUAGGAUUAAGAAAAUAAUAGAAUAUUACUUUUGCAAACGACAAAUGGAUUUUGACAUCCAUGACAGUUGUCAUAAGGAACAGGGAACAGGUCACAACAACAUUCAUAUCACAUAAAUGGUUUUCAUGACAUAGAGGCUCUUAGUUUUCAGAUUAUAAUCCUGCACCACCUAAGUUCACAUUUCUAAAAGAGUGUGGUAAACUUGCAAAAUGCCUUUCAAGUCAGAUUAGUAUUGAGAACACACCCAUAUUGGGAUCAUGUGAUCAUCAAUCCUUUCAAAAAUUAAAAAUCAGGAGCAAGAAACUAUGAAGGUAUGUGGAGCCUAUCUCACCAUACCAGGCAAGGAAAGGUGGCAAUACUGAAAAGAGGAAACGAUUAGUUUGGCGAGUUAACAAAGACACGGGAAGAUAUACUUCCACUAAAGUUUUCAGGUCUUCAAAAUAAACCAAGAUAGAUCUACCACAAAAAGAGUAAAAAUUACUAAAGUUUCAAGAGACAAAUUUAUUUAAGCAAUGCACCAUAUCUUGAGAGGCCGCAAGUCAAUACCAACCUUUCCAAACAACACCUUCCAUACUGUGCUGUGUACAAAAGAUAAGAUACCCAGGAGUCGUGUCUCUCUUCUGUUUCCCUAAAGCAUCAAAUAAAUAGUAAAAACAUAAGCCAGUCAACUUAGAGAAGAACAAAAGCCAUAAACAUAGAUUUAGAGACCCCUCUGAGAAGUUCUUAUAUAACAUUAAUCACUUCACAAACAGUUACUCAGAUGUCCCUUUAAUAAUUCAACCAAUAAUUGAUCAAUAUGUUGCACCAUCACCAUUCACCAGAUCUUGCAGUGACCAAUAUGUUGCAUACAUGAAUCUUCGUGUGCGAAAAAUUACUCAAGGUAAUGCUUCAGUUAAAGACAAGAAUAAAUAAGCAUACAAAGUUAGCUGAUUUAAUAUUUUCUUUCAAACAGUAAUAGCUUUGUUUAGGAGAAUAGUUUUAAAACCUCAACACCAAAAAGAAAUUACUUGGUUUCUCCCUUGAUUUUUCAGUGUAUGUCCUAUAGCAAAGUAGCAGUGGAAUUACUUAAAAAAAAAAAAAAAAAAAACUAAAAACAUUAUGAACACAUGAACUUGCUGCAAAUAAGAAUCUAAUCUGAAUCAAUUUAUUGAACUUCAAUCACUUCAGCCACAAUAGGCAGAUGUUAAAUGGACAAAAAUAUCCAGCUCUUCAGCUUUGCAAUUGAUGCAGAUGUUUUAGUUUCACUUCAAAGAUUAGGAUGAUUUAACAUGCAUAAAACUUGCCAUGGGCUACCAUAGAGAGUAAGAAUAUUCGCAUGAACUCUCUCGAUUUUCCGCACCUUUUCUCUGUGGCAAAGAAGUUCCAAAACCCUUGCUCCAACAGCAUAUCCUGCAUCUUCGAGCCUGCAAGCCCAAAACUAAGAUAUCAUCAAAUUAAUACAACAGAAUCCAUGCAUAAAUCAAGCAGUCACACAACUUCAGUAACCCAAAGUAAACCAUCAGAAACCCAAGGAUUGUGAAUCCAGUUCCAGAUCAAUCAGAACAACAAAAAUAAUCAUUUUGUAUGGGUGUGGCGAGAAUGUUUGACAAAAGCAGAUUAGUAAAGGACGAUUCUUGCCAUAAAUUUUCAAAAUGCACGCUAAACUAACUAUUUAUAUUGCUGUUGCAUAUCCCCCCCCCCCUCUCACCCCUUUCUCCAAUCCCCACAAUUUAGCAUGUUAUUAGUCAGUUCAAUUUUUUGUUUCCAAAACAGUACCAGAUGAUAAUUACUUGCGCAUAAUUGCUUUGAACUGCACGGUGACUGAUUUUCCAUCCUGAGCACAUCUCACAAGUUUGAUUCAAGAAAUUCCAGAACUAUAAAUUAACGCCAACCAUUCUUCACAGCAUAUACAUAUUGACCUACAUGAGUGGAAGAUAGUAUCACCUUCUUUCGAGUUCAGCAAUGUUGUCAACUUGAGUCUGAUUGUACUGAACCAGCUCUGAGAACAAGAAUGCAAAUGCACUCAAACUCACCUGACCAAAACAAUUAUCAUUUUUUUAGAACAAAGAAGAGAUUUCAAUCAACAGCCAGCAGAAAGAACAAAACCCCAAUAAGAAAUACUAAACAACAAAUACAUUUCAAUUGUGACCAUGAAAAGAGUCAAAAACAAAAACCCAUCCACAUUGAGCCGCAAAACUACAUGAUUUGAGAUGAAACCAAGCUAAGUACCUUAUAAUUUGCUCAACUACAGUUAAUUAAAACCCUUUAAUCCGUUAACCUGUUACCGGCUAGAUCUGAAUAGGGAGUGAAAGAAAACCUCUUGUUUGCCUUUACUGAGGGGCCUGUCGAGGACAUUUGUGUACUGCUUCAUCUUUCCAACUCCUAUCAUCCUGCGAUCCUUCACCAAUUUGUUGGGUUGCUUUUUUGAUUGCUACUGUGUCUGCUUUCGCUCAAAGUACUUACCAGUCGUAGUUGAAAACUUAAAAGCGAAGAUCAAUUCGGGUUUUUGAAUGAUAAAAGCAAAUUUUUGUGCUCCUAAGAUUAAUGGAAGUAUACAAGGGUUUAUUGUAGUUGAAACCCUUAAACUUUUGUGUGAGUUGCACUUUGCGCCCUCAACUUUUCACCAACGUUUUUUAACCCAUUUUGUUAUAUGUUUCUGUUCUAAUCCAUUUCCUAUUUUCUCCAAACUCUCUCAUGUUACCAUAAUCUCAAAAGAUCAUAAAUGCGAGCUUCUAAUCCCUUUUUCUAUUUUUUGCACCGUCUUUUAUUAUGAAAUGUGAUACAUAGCUGUUUGAUAUGUUUAUUUACUUUUGAAUUUGGUAAACUGAAAAGGUAGAUGAGAAAGAGGAUUUGUGGCCAAACUAAAGUUUCAUAUUUCAAGAAUCAAAACGCUUCUAAUUCAAUUUAAUGUGAAACUUAAAAAGUAUAAAGUCUUGCUGUAUCAUAUAAUAAAUAGUUUCGAGAUUCUUUUGGCCAAAAACCAUAUUGUAAGUAUCAAUUGUUUUACACAAUAAGGAAAUUGCACAUCAUCAUGGAAUUGUAUAUAUUUUUCCAUGAGCAUGCAUACAUUGUCUGCCGUUAUUAUAAAUUUUUACUUUUUUUACUCGUAGCAUCUGGUAGAAAAGUUGUUAAAAAAAUUCGUUUGAUUAGGAGAUUAUUUAGAAUAAUCACCGUAUUACUUUUUUGUGAUGUAAUAUAUAUGAAAUAAAGAGUGAUUAACAUAUAAAAAAGUGAUUGCAAAACGUAUUUAUGAUACAAGUAAAAUUAUAUUAAAAAAUUAGUAUUCAAACACACCCAAUAUUAACUUUUCUUCUCAUUCAUUUACUAAGUAAAAUAAUUGGUUUACUUAACAUGCAAUGAUAAAUUAUUUUUAAUGUUCCAUUUACGAAUAAUUAGCUUUGCAUUGAUCAAACAAUGAAGGAAAAAAGAAAAACUUUUAGACCAUGAACUAAUGUGUUUGGAUGGCAAAUUAUUUGAAAAAACAAAAUCAGAAUAAUACUAGCUAUAAUGAGUUUGUUUGGAUAAGAGUUUAUUUGGAUGAUUUAUUUGAGAUAUUUACUGUAGCACUUUUUGUGAUGUGAUGUAUGUGAGAUAAAAAGGUGAUUGAGAAGAUAAAAAGGUAAUUGGGAUUUAUGAGAAUAAAUUUUGCAAACCAAAUUAUCUUUGUCCAAACAAACUCAAUGCUUUUAGUUUUUUUUUUUUUUCAAUUGGGGGUGUUCCGGCCUACACCCGACUAGUCCCCAACCGCGUGGAGAGCAUGUCCCACUGAUCCUUAAGAAAUUACGCCGGAUUGCUGAGCUCAGGAUCAAACCCAAGCCGUCUCACCUUAAUGAGGGUUACACGAUCACCCGAACAACCCGUCGAGGACGCUUUUAGCUAUUUGAUGUAUCAUUUUUUACCCUCCUUUUAAGUGCCUAAUGAAGCUCUUUAUGAGUUAAUUACAUGUAAAUAUUUUUCUAGUCCUAUGCGCCGCAACUUGCAGCCAUGAAACAAAGGGCUUGUUUGGAAGUGAAGUUUUUGAUCAAGUUUUUUAGCUACUAGUUUUUUAACAACUUUUGCUACAGGAAUCCCAAAAAACUUAUCACAGUUUUUUACUUACACACUUCAAAAUAAUAUACAAAAAACUUUCCCUUCAACUUUUCUUCUUUUUCCUCCCCCACCCAACCGCCCACCACCUCCACCACCGCUUCCGGUGCCAAUAACUAUUCCGGCCAACUUUUGCCGGCCUUCCUCUUUUUUUUUUUUUUUUCUCUCCCUCCCCUCCCCCUUUGACUGAUAUGUUGGUUUCCAAAAUCUCUUUUUUCUUUUUUUUCUUUCUCCCUCCCCCCUCCCCUCUUUCCCUCUACCUUUCCCCGCCACCUUCCCCUUCCCGCAGCUUGGGGAGAAGGAAAAUUGAAAAAAAAAAAUUACACUCAACUGUUGCUGCUUAUUCUGCUAGCAAGAUAAGGAAAGGAGAGGGAGAUGGAACAUUGGAAAAAAAAAAUCAUUUAUAUUGCUGCAAAACUCAUGUGCAAAACUCAAGUGGCGGCAGAGGGAGAGGGAGAGAGAGGGGUGGCGGGGGAGCUUUUGCAUGGGUGGGGGAAGGGGGUUGCGGGCAGAGAGAGAGGAAGGGGGAGCUUUUGUAGGGGUGGAGGAAGGGGUGACGGGGCAGAGGGAAGGAAAAGGGGAAAGGGAGGAGAGGGGUGGCGGGAGGUGGCAUUGGUGGAGUUGCUGCUGGGGUGGUGGAGGUAACGGGGAAGGGGGAGUGGGAAGGAAGAAGAAGAAGAAGAGAGGAAAGAAAAGAAAACAAAGAAAGAAAAAGAAAGAAAAAGAAAAAGAAAGAAAAGAAAAAAAGAAAGAAAAAAAGAAAAGGAAAAAAUAAGUUUUUCACCCUACAAAAACUUCUACAAAAUUUUUCACCUUACAAAAACUUCUACAAAAUUUUUUCAAAAACUUCUACCGUGCACUACAAUAAAGGGCCUGUUUGGAAGCGAGUUUUUUUGGCCAAGUUUUUUAGCUACAAGUUUUUUAACAACUUUAGCUACAGGAAGCCAAAAAAACUUAUCAAAUUUUUUAACCUACACACUUCAAAAUAUCUAAUACACAAAAAACUUCUAUCUUUCUUCUUUUUUCUCCCCCACCCCAUCCACCAUACCUUCAUUGCCGGCCACCAUCUCUGCCGCCGUUUCCGGCGCCGGCCACCUAUUCCGGCAUCGACGUUCCCAAAAUUUUUUUUCCUUCCUUUCUCCCUCCCUCUCUCCUUCGCUCCCCUCUCCCCCUCCCCUCCCUGGCCAAACAGCCCAGAACUAUGCAGCAGUAGCAGUUACUUUCCUACGCUAUGGCUGACGGGAAAAUGGGGGAACAAGGAAGGGGGUGGCGGGAAACGGGAAACGGGAAGGGAAACAAAGGAGGGGGAAACGGGAGGGGGGUGGCGGGGCAGAGAGGGUGGCAUGCAGAUGGGAGGGGAAGGGGCAGGGAGAUGGCGGGGCAGCGGGGAAGGGGGAAGGGGCACAGGGGAAGGGGAAGAGGGCUGGCGGGAGGAGGGGGUGGCGGGGCAGAGGGAUGGCAUGCAGAGGGGAGGGGGAAGGGGCACAGGGGGUGGCGCGGCAGCAGGGGAAGGGAGUGGCGCGGCAGCGGGGGAAGGGCUAGCGAGGGAGGGGGUGGCGGGACAUAGGGGAGGGGAAAGGGGCGGAGGGACUGGCAACGGGGAAGGGCUAGCGAGGGGAGGGGUGGCGGGACAUAGGGGAGGGGAAAGGGGCGGAGGGACUGGCAACGGGGGAAGGGCUAGCGAGGGGAGGGGUGGCGGGACAGAGGGGAGGGGAAAGGGGCGGAGGGACUGGCAACGGGGGAAGGUAGCGAGGGGAGGGGUGGCGGGACAGAGGGGAGGGGAAAGGGGCGGAGGGACUGGCAACGGGGAAGGGCUAGCGAGGGGAGGGGGUAGCGGGGCAGAGGGCGUGGCGUGCAGAGAGGAAGGGGAAGGGGGCUGGCGGGGGAAAUGCAGAGGAGAGGAGAAGGGGAAAGGGAGGAGAGGGGUGGCGGGAGGGAGAAGGAAGAAGAAGAUGAAGAAAGAGAGGAAAGAAAAGAAAAAGGAAAAAAGAAAGAAAGAGAAAGAAAAAAGAAAGAAAGAAAAAAAAAGAAAAGGAAAAAAAAAUUCAUCCUACAAAAAUUUUUACAAAAUUUUUUAUCUUACAAAAACUUCUGCAAAAAAAUUAUUCACCUUACAAAAAUUUCUAUAAAAUUUUUUCAAAAACUUCUACAGUGCACUACAGUAAAAUUUUUAGACAAACUACCAAAAAACUUAGGUUCUAAACAGGUCCGAAGUUUUAGACAAACUCCCAAAAAACUCAAGUUCCAAACAGUCCAGAAAUUGGCUGUGAUUUCUCCUAUUAGGCAUUAUAAUUGCAGUCUUAAGAAGUAGUAGUACAAGUUGCCUAAAAAAAAAAAGAAAAAAGUAGUAGCACUGGUACUUGCCAAGAGGCUCCGAACGAGCUUCAAAACCCUCCAUUUCUCUUGAUUGAGGCUCACACACUAGAUACACUCAAAAAACACGCACUCGCGUUGUUCUCUUUCUUCAUGGAAGACGAUGAUGAGUUCGGAGAUCUCUAUACUGAUGACGUCUUAAAGCCUCUAACGACGUCGUUUCAAUCUCAACCUCAGCAGCAGCAGCAGCAGCCACCUGCUCCGCCUCCUCCUCAGUUCCAGCUUGAAAAUAAAGAAUCAUCCAAACCGACGGCGUAUCAAGGCCGUCCGAUCGAUCUAAACGUCAAUAGCGAUAAGGAUGAUGAUGACGACGAUGAUGAUGAGGAUAAAUUUUUCCGAGCUGCGAAUUCCAGUUCCACUGGAAAGAUUCAAACCCUAGCCUCGUCGCAAACCGGAUUCUAUUCUCGUCCUGACCCGACGAAUUUUGAUUUGAAUAAGAUUUCCGGUCAAGUGGAGGGGAGCUCGGGGGGUUUAGCUGGGGCUGGAUCGGAUUCGCAAGCUAGGGUUUUGGGGACGAAGGAAGGAGAUGCGAAAUUGCCGGAAAGGGCUCGGGGAGUUCCGGCUUAGGUGACGACGCUGAUAUUGACGUCAUGGUUGAAGAGAGGGACGAAAAAGACGACAAUUUCGUUGUUAAAGGUGGAAAUUUGACGGAUAGAAGUGGAAAUGUUGAGAAUUUUGGCACGGGAGACCCGAUGAUUCCGGGGCUGUCGAUUCCCGGAGUUUCUGGCAGAGUAGAAAGCCGUGCCAACGCUAAUUAUGAUGAUGAUUGGGAUAGUGAUAGCGAGGAUGACUUGCAAAUCGUGUUGAAUGAUACUAAUCAUGGGCCGAUGGGGAUGGAGAGGAUGGGAGGAGGAGGAGGAGGUAUGGGGGAUGAAGAUGACGACGAUGAGGAUGACGAAGAUGGGGAGCCAUUGGUGAUUGUUGCAGACAAUGAUGACCCGAGCCAUCAGCCAAUGAUGAUGGAAGAGCAAGAUUGGGGAGGGGAGGAAGUGGGAGCUGGUGGCGAUGGGGAGAAAAAGGAAUUAGGUGAAGCUGCAAAAAUAAAUGGGGCAGGAGGUGGAGCUGUGGCGGCACAGAAGAUUGGGUAUAGCGGUCACGGGUAUCAUCAUCCGUUCCAUUCACAGUUCAAGGUCAGUGAUGUUGCCGCACACCUGGGGUUUGGUGCUUUCACCCUCUUGUUUGAUGAGAACUUGCAAUGUACUAAACUGGCUAGUAAUUGUUGUAUAGAGUUCUGGAAAUUGGUUACAUUAGAAUUCAUCAAUGCGGUUGUCGUAUGUGUUAAUGAGGUUGACUGUUGUACUGGUUUCAAAUCUCCAGUAAUAAAAUUUAGUAUGAUUUGUGACCAAUUUCAUACUCCAGUGCUUUUACUCAUUCUUAGCUUCUUACUUGUUCAUUUGGCGGCUUUAUAUUUUACAGACGAUGAACAUACGUCCAAUGUGGCAAUAGCAUGUAGCUUCUUGUUUCUGGCGCAUAGGGAACUAGUUUUUUCAGUCCAUCCUAAUCUUUUUGUGCUUUCGAGGAGAGUUUCCGGUGACCAUACACAACCUUAUUCACCAAGCGUCUUCUAAAAGUUGUCAAUCUGUAUGUCUGUCCAAGUUUUGAGUAGCAGAAUUCAAUGAAUAACCAAUGUCAAGAUUGAACUAAAAUUGUCUGCUAUCACUCAUUCCUAAAAUUUCUUCUGAAACUGCUCCUUGGGGUUAAGUGUUGAGAAGAUAGCUGGCAUUUUACAAGAACUGGUUAUGAGUGAAUUUCCUUGCUUGCCUGGGUGGCUUGCAUUGAGCAUCUAGACAUGCUGCAACACAGAAGUUAUACAACUUCAUGCAACAUGCCGCCAGCGACCCAGUUUUGUCCUUUUGAACCUUGAACUGAUUAUUGCUUGUGGAAACAAAGCAAAUGGUGCAUUUAGCAGUUUCCCUUGCACUGGUGCAAACACAUUUUCCUACACGUUGCGACUCACUAUUGGCUGGAAACCAGCUGUUAUUGUUGUUUGAUGAGAAAUGUUGUAAAAUAUCUACAUCAAGUAUUUAGCUACCUUAAGUUUUAGAAAAUCCCUUUUGGUAGUUAUUAUAUUUCGUAUCUUUUUUCAAAAAUUUCUUGGUAUGGAAUUGAUUUUAGUAUGAGGAUAUCAUUUUCACCUGAAGUAAUUACACUGGUGGCCUUUUAAGUGUCGUUUAGAUGUUAGUUAAUAGAUGCUUCUAACUAAAGCUAUUCCACAGCUGUGACAAAAUGAUGUUGCUUUUAAUUGAUUUCUCUUUGUUAUUAGUCAUUUGUUAGCUUCUUGGUACUUUAUGCUUUUCAUUUUCAACUAAUAAUAAUUUAUCAAGAUGCUAAAGCCCAGAUUGCCAUCUUCUAUCAUGACACAAACUGUUCCUUUUUUAGGGUCUCUAACCCUUCAAUUUUUCCUUUCCUAUCCUACUCAUUAGCCUUAUUAGUUGAAAUACUGUUGAUAUUUUCGAAUAAUGCAAGAUAUCCGAACUACGUGAAAUUUGUAAUUUUUGUACUGUGAAUGUUUAGCUAAAGGUUUUCGAUAUUUAGUUGAUUUUUUUUUAGAUCAUUGAGCAUGUGUUUGAAAGGCUUGCGUCAUAUUAAAGAUUUGCUCUUAUGUUGAUUCUCCAUUUGUUGAUACUUUUUCUGUUCUUUUCUUUGGAAAACCGUGUAGUAUGUGAGACCUGGUGCGUCACCAAUGCCUGGAGCAGCUGCUAUGGGUCCCGGGGGCACUUCAGGUCAAGUUCGUCCACCUGUGAGCAUGGUUCCUGGUGCUGGACGUGGCAGAGGUGAUUGGCGACGACGACUGGAGUAAAGGGUCCUCCAGAAUGCAGAAAGGUUUUCAUCCAGGCUAUGGAAUGCCUAUUUGGGGAAGUGGGGCUUCAGGACGUGGAUUGGAGUUUACACUUCCAUCACAUAAGUAUGUUUAUUUUGAUGAGGAUACUGGUAGUGCUAUUCUAUCACAAGCAUUUUGCUCAUUUUCUAAAAAAAUUUAAACAAAAAAUGUCCAUGGGGUGAAUGGAUUUGAAGUUAAAACUGUUACAUCCACCUGCUGAAAGCUGUUAAGGUUGGGGUUAAGACAUUCUCAUGUUCACCUGCCGAAACUGUUAUUUGGCAGGCAAAUGUUUUGAUCUUCUCAAGUUAAAGACCUAUUUUCUGCCUUAGUUGCUUUUCUGUAGAAGUGCCUUUUUGUAGCCUUUCAUGGUGGAGAUGUUUGCAUGUUCUAAUACAAACAUCUUUUCCGAUACAUACAAAGUCCAAAACAAGUGGUUGGUGGAAAUCUUAAGCUUUUGUUAAUUGUCGAUAAGUUUAUGCAUGUAUUUGAUUAUCUCAUGCACAUUUGGGAUGCGGAUAUUAAGGUAAAGUAUGGAACUUUCACAAUCCCUGGAGAGAUUGUUCACUAAUAGACUAGGGGAUAAGUAAUUCAACUUAUUCACAUCCAGAUCAUGAAUGUUUGGAAUCCAUAUUAUGCAAGGAGACAUUGCUUUUGCUAAUUCAAUUUGAAGAGUGAUAUAAAAUUGGUCUAUUUCUGGCAUCAUAUCCAUAGCGCAUUCAUCAUGGUUAGCAGCUCCAGCUCCAUAUCAAGGCUAUAUUGUCUCUUUCAUCAAUAUUGAUUUAUUUUGCUGUUUAGCUGAUUUGAGAAAGACAAUAGAUACUUCUAAUUUUAGAUGAGCAAAAUAACCAAGAAUGCAAGUAGAAGGGACUUAAUUCUUUUAGGAGAAGUGAAAAGCUGAAGGUCAACAGUAGUUUUGGGAUUCUUACUCUUGGAUCAGUUUAGACACUUGGGUACUGUCAUGCUAGUCAAACUUGUCGAAUCAUUAAAUCUUUCCCUUAGAUUCUAGACAGGUGUCGAGUCGGAGUUGCCUCUUCCAUCUUUGGCUUUUACUCAUGAUUGGUACAAACGUAUAAAGGAAAUGGUGAGGUUGUCUAAUCAUAUGUGCUUCCUUGUCUGCCAUGUACAUUUUGGUCUUGGUCACUUCUGUAACUUGUCUGUCAAAUUAAACUUUUUUACAGUAACUUUGUAAUGUAUAUCUAUAAAGGAAACAAGAAAGGGCAAAAAUUGGGAAGAAGGGAGAGAGAUACAGAAAGGCAGCAGAGGAAGUACAUCUCUAGUUUGUAUUUAUGAACCAGUGAUAGAAUUUUUUUGUUUCUGUGAGGGCCAUGUUGAAUUAUGUUUGAAGUGUUUUUAAUCCUAGACCAUCUAUUACCACUGAUAGUAUGCCUGUGUUUGGAUAUUAAGAUCAGUAAUCAUCUUUACUUGACCUGGAGAAUAUCCCAUUGGAGAAGUUUGACAUCUAGCAUUAGACUCGUAUGGGAUUGAGAAAGAUGAGGAGGGUUGUAUAUUACACUUCCUUAAACCUCAGAGAGCAAGAAUGCAAAUUCGACGAGGAUACAGCUUGACAUAUGCAAGCUUGAUCAUUACACUGUAACAGAAGGUUAUUAAUUGAGGAAGAUCACAAAUUUCAUAACAUUGGACUGCCAUAACAUUGGACUGCAAGUGAAGCCUUAUAGCAUUUCACGUUGAAAAUACUCAUUAUCCUGUAAUGCGGUGAAAGGUUGACCCUUUGAGCUAGUAUAAGUAAAUAAGCACUGAAAACUCUUUUUUGUCCUUUUGAGAAAAACUUUGUGGAAAUUCUUAUUUGAGUUUGUAAGUAUCCUUGUUAGAGAUACUCCCACUUUAGGAAAAAAUUUCUACCUCCUUGUAAAAGCUUGCUGCUUUAAACUUCAUUGCCGGUCAGAGUUUCUGGGUUGUCUCGAUGAUAAAUUGGUUUUGGUGUUUGUUAACAUGUCUGUUUUGCUUUUUAAAAAGAUACUGCCUUUGGUUGUGCAUGGCGGCCAAGUAGUAUUUCUAGACAAAGAUUUUGCCAUUUUCUAUUUGUUUCUGUGCAUGUAAUGGUGAAGUUUUUUUUUAAAUUAAAGUUUGUUAUAAUUGGCCUUUUAACCUUAUGUUUUAUUACCAGGACCAUAUUUGAAGUUGACAUUGAUGGUUUUGAGGAAAAACCAUGGAGACAUGCUGGUGUGGAUAUAACAGAUUUUUUCAACUUUGGAUUGAACGAGGAAAGUUGGAAAGAUUAUUGCAAACAGCUCGUAGGUUUCACCAACAGCUUUUUGCAUGCCUUAAAAAGAAUUUUACCUUGUGAUUUAUCCUUCUACUUUUAUAAUUUUGUGUGAUUGUGUAUCAAUUCCUUGUUGGGUAAAUCUGAUCUGCACAAAGUGUAAUAAAAAAUUGUGUGCACAUUUUAAAAUAAAAAUUAAUGCUAAUUUUCAGGAGCAACUCCGUCUUGAAACAACAAUGCAAAGCAAAAUUCGUGUUUAUGAAAGUGGGAGAACAGAACAGGUACACAGUCUUUUAAAAUUUGGAUAUGUAAUAUUCUGAAUAUUUGCAUGAGAUUUUUUGUGGUUUAGAAAGAAAAUUGUAUUUUAUAUCUGAUUUGUUUUUCCUCUUGUAUUAUGUUCAGGAGUAUGAUCCAGAUCUUCCACCUGAGCUUGCAGCAGCUGCUGGUAUUCAAGAUACUACAUCUGAAAGCUUGAAAGUUGGGAAGCCAGAUGCUGUUCAAAAUGACUUAGGCAGAGUACUGCUCGUGUGCGACCACCCUUGGUAUGUAGUUUUCUUAGACCUUUUGCUUUGCUACUCGUGAAACAUUUUGACCAUUUUAUAAAAUUCAUGUUGUUAUUUUACUUCUAGGCUAAAUUUUUGGUGCUAGGAUCACUUCUUUCUCUACCUCAUCUGAUUGUGGAAUAUUUUACAGAUUAAAUAACCAAGAAAAGAAAAUGCACCUAUAGAGUUCAUUCUCUCUACUGAAUUGAUUUAAUUAUUUACUUUUUAAUCUGCCACCAGCCAACUGGAAGAGCAAUACAAGUGGAAACUGGUUAUGGUGAACGUCUGCCGUCUAUUGACACUAGAAAACCGCGGAUUAGUGAUUUAGAUGUAAUUAUUGAGGUAAGUUUUCAGGUCUUCCUAUUCUGUCUAACUCAACCUUCGUUUUUGUAUCAAUUGUAAUGUAGUUUUCAUGUAUUGAUGUUUCUUUUCUAUUUUCUUCCUUAACAGAUUGUGUGUCAAGACCCUGCUGAUGAUGAUACCAACACUGGAAAUGAGAUGACAGAGCAAGCUGACAAUGAUCCUUCGAGGGAGGAUCUUAGGGAUGGUGAUGAGUUUGAAGACCUUCCCAAAGAAGAUACUGAAGAUGUGGAUCGUGUUCCACAUGCUCACAGCAGUCGCAGGAGGGAAGUUGUGGGCGGAAGAGUGCCAAUUUCGAAAUCUGUUCACGAUAACUUGGCUAAAGGAAAUGGCGAUUUGCCUCUCUCUUCGGAAGCACCGUCAGCAUCCCAUCCUGACUCAGAGAACAGACACCUGUUUGUCCUGGUAGAGAUUUUGCUCAUGAGGAGAGGUAUGAAAAAUUGCUGGAAAUUCAGUGCAUUUUUAUUUUUAUCUUGAACUCUUUUUAUGGCAUAAGCAUGUGAAACCACUUAAUUGGAUUUGAAAUUUUGAUAAAUUUUUCUCCUUAUUAUGCUGUAUCACAUUUUUAACUGUCAGUCUAUAUAGUAGAGCGAUUCAAUCCAGAGCUUUGCUUGUUACUUGGUUAGUAGGUCCUAUCUGUAUGCAGAAGGAUGAUGGCUUACUAGAGAUUAAUGAUCAUGAAAUUCAUAGAGGGACGAAGCUCACCUUGAUGACAAGUCUGCUCCAGCAUUUUUGUUAGUUAAAUUUGCUUGCUGCAGCUCCCUUCCACAAAAGCUUCAGCUUUGUGUUUUGGCUGUUAGUGGACAACUAACUGUGCAACUUUUUAAGUUGUUGACAAUGUAGGAGACUAUACAUGAAUUUUCUUCAAACAUUCUUGUGAUGAACUGUCGCUGAUGUUAUACACAAAAUUAGUUGUGACUUGCAUUUAGGUUUUGGCUUCAUGAUCAUCAUUGACUUGUUAAGUGACAGUAAUUUUCUUUUUGUGAAUCCAGGCGGACAAAGGAGAGAGCACGUGACAGUUCCCCCAUGAUUGCCAAUAAGGAUUGUACUGCCUGAAGAACGAAUAACUGAUAAUAAAGAAUCUUCAGUUGAAAGUUUAGAAGGCAAACAUAGUCUUCCAUCAUCUCCUUUAGCUGUUCGAGGUGCUAGUGAACAAAAUAGUGAACCUAAAGAUGCUAUGAAUGAUGAAGUUGCCCUGACUGAGAUAGGCUCUGACAUGAUUGACAAGGAUGCGUCUUUGAAUGCUAAAACAAGUAGUGAUUCACUUACAGAUGAAACAGGGAACCAUGCUUUGAAAAAACAGAAAGUGAGUUCAAAUGAUGAACAGCAUCUGCCUCAAGAAAUUGAUGAGGAUGAAGACUCAAAAGCUGCAAGAAGUAGUGAAAAUAGUAAAGCAAAAUCAGGAAGUAGCAAUUACCGGAAGCUACGGGACAGUGUUGAAGAAGAAGAGGUUCAAGGAGCGCGCUCAAAACACAUGGGUAAUCUUAAAAGGUCAACUGUGGGCAGCGAGGACAGUGUCCGAAGGAAACUUCGUGAUGAUAGACAAGAAAAUGAUAGACACCGCACCUCAGUGAAAGGGAGGGAAGAUUUAUAUCAGCACAAAGGGUUGGAUCCUUAUUCUGCACAUCCUUCUCGAGGGAAAUCUGUGAAUAUAGACCUGCGAAAGGAUAUGGAUAGUAUUGAGGGAGCCCGUCAUCGCAGAGAAGAAGAUUUGCAUGGGAGGAGACCUAGAGCUGAAGACACAAGAAAAAGGGAGCAUAGGGAUGAGACUGAUUCUAGACACCGCAGUAAGGUUCGAGAAAUUGAAAGAAUGAAAAAAGAUGAACAUUAUCAACUGAGAAAACAAUUGGAUAAUGGGAAUUGGAAAGGCGGUUAUGAUAAAGAUGUGGGAUUGAGGCACAGAGACAGGGAGGAUAAUGUGAAAAGUCGAAAUGAAAUAAUAGAUGACCUUCACAACAAGAGAAGGAAAGACGAUGCACAGUUAAGGAGGGAGCAUGCUGAAAAGGAAGAAAUGUUGCAUGCUCAGCGAGAAAGUAGCAGUCGUAGAAAGAGAGAAAGGGAUGAUGUGUUAGAUCACCGGAGGAGGGAUGACCAAGUAAGAAUGAGAGAUGAUGAUCAACAUGGUGUUAGGUACAAAGAAGAGGGAUUGUUUCAGAGGGAAAGGGGCGAGAGGCAACGAGAGCGAGAGGAAUGGCAUAGGCUUAAACAAUUGAAUGAGGAUAUUCCAUCAAAGAAGGAGAAAGAAGACUUGCGGGUUGGAAUGAGGAGUGGGCGAGCUACUGAAGAGAAAACAUGGGGCAGUCAAUCUAGAGGCAAAGAUGACCGCAGAAGUUCUGAUAAGGAGUACCAUUCAAAGGAUGCAUUGCGGCAGAGUGAGUUAAUCAGCAGGAGGGAUCGAGCUGAAAAUGAGAGUCUUUCACAGCAUAGGGGUGUGAGGAGUAUUAUGCACAUGGGAACCAGCUCAAUACUGAUGAGAGAAGAGGAGCAAGGCAUGAGAGGAUGAACACUCGUGAUGAUCGGGCUGCCAAUGUUGAGAACUACAAGGUGCAUGAGAGAAAACACAGAGAAAAUCCAAGAAGGGUAAGGAAACUGAGAGUGUUGAUCGGAAUUCUUGGCCCGUUCUAGGAAGAAUCAAGAUGAAAUCAGUGCGCAGACAAGCGACAUGGUAUGUUACAUUUCUGAACUGGCUUUUCUUUUUUCUUCUUCCUGUUUUUCUGAAGGGAUGGGAUUAUUGAUUAAAUAGCCUUGCAGGUUUAGUUAGGCCAUUUACUGCCUGACUUUCAUUAACCAACUUCCCCUUGGGAUGAUUUCGAAUCCUGUUGCCUGCCUUUGUGAUUGGAUGGGAUUGAGUGGUUUUUUUAUCUCAUUUUCAAGGAUUAUGUGCUGAAUGGUUCUGGAUAUUGUGACAAAGCUGACCUUGAAUACAUGAAAUGAACAUUUUUGGACUUGAGAUACUUAGUGGAAAUUCAUUGGCCGUCCAUUCUCUAAUAAUUGAUCAUGGGAGGAAUGCACGUUCAGUUUUUCAUUACUACUGGAUUUUGCUUAAUGAAGUGGAGAUUUUCUAAACUUUCUCAUGCCCAUAGCUAGACGACCAUUUGAUGCGUCUUGAUGUCUACGCUUUCCUGGUUGACUAUUUGUUUUCAUAUAUCCUUUUACUCUUAUGGUCUCUGUGAGGACCUUGUUUACUUUUGAUCAACUACUUCUUUAGCACUUAUCUUGAAACUUAAGCGAAUAUUUUUUCUUUUAUUCCAUGUUCUCUGGCACAGUAUGCAUAUCAUCAAUGAGAAUUGACUUUUUCAUGAUUUUUAGUUUUUCUUCUCCCUAGGCAAAUCUCUAAAUUUUUGGUCAUAGAACUGUAACUUCAUACCUUUUCUAAGUUUAAUUAGCAAAUUAGUAACCCUGGGUGUGUUAUCCCAAGCGAGACUGCCAAUGUUUGUAAAACUUGUAUAAUCCUUCAAACCAUUUUUGUCUAAAGAAGCUUCUGGAAAGCUGAUAUUUCCAAUGUACCAUUUAACAUGCAAUUUCUGUGCAUGGUACCAUAUAUUUCCUUGUGAUGCACUGCUGAUGUCAAAACAAUUUUGAAUGUCCUUCAAUACCUUAAUCUUUGAAUCGGAAAAGGUGACUAAUAGAUUUUUUUUUCUUUUUAUGAUCAAGUUGUUAUGCAUUGCUGACUCAGGCAAAGCUUAGCAUAGCAAUAAAAAUAGCUGGACUGUAAUAUCUUGUUGAACAUGAUAGCACUUCUGAGAAUGCUUGGCUAGUAUUAAUAUGGUACACAUCUAGAUUCUUCUUGAUCUUCUAGUAGAAGGGAUUGUGUCUAGCUUUCAGCCUCUUUGUAUGGUUUCAUUGUAUUUGUCAAACUGGAAAUAGCAAUAUUUGCUUUGACUAGCUUAUAAAAUGGUAGCCAGUUAAUCCCAAUGAAUAAGCGCGAUAUUAGUCAGAGUAAUUCUUUGUGACCAAAACAUCACCAUGUGGAUACUUCUUUUGCAAAUCUGCUUGUGUCGAUUCUAUAAUGUAUCUGUGGCUAGGCAGCCGUCUCCAUUGAUUGUAGCAUGUGGUAUAUCCCUUGCACAGAUCAGAAUCAUGCUGGCAAGUAAAUGGGAAGUACAUGUCAAGUUACAUCACACAGAUGCAUGGAAGUAUUUGUAUCUGUAUGUAUAGCUUCAAAUUUAUGAUUUUCCUCUUUCUCAGGUGAGAUUCAAAGGCAGAAUUGAGCAGGGAAAAAGUGAAAAUGAGAUCCAUGUGAAUAUUCCGCCAUCUAAAAAGCAUAGGGAAGAGGCUUCAUCAGAUGAUGAAGUGUCGGAAUCCAGGAGGGGACGCUCCAAACUAGAACGCUGGACCAGCCAUAAGGAAAGGGAUUUCAGUAUCAGCAGCAAGGCUUCAUCUUCCGUGAAGAUGAAGCAGCCUGAGGCAUACGGUAGUGGCGGGCCUUCCAUUGGCAGCAAACUUCAUGAUGAAGCUUCUAACCCAGUGGAGGAUAAGCAACACCCCUCAGGUAAUGAGAAAGAUGCUGCCAGUUUGGAGACGAAUAACACUGAUAAGAAGCCCAUAGAGGAUAGACACUUGGACACUGUGGAAAAACUAAAGAAGCGAGUGAACGUUUCAAACUUCCAAUGCCGAGUGAGAAAGAAGCCACAACAGUCAAAAAGGUGGAAAAUGAAGCUUUGUUGUCUGCCCAAAGUGAAAGUCGUGCAGAUUUUGAAGUUAAAGCAGAGCGUCCAGCUCGUAAAAGGAGGUGGACCGGCAAUUAAUUGCGAGAAGACAUUGAUUUUAGGUGGAUAAAGCAGUUCACUUCGUGGAGCAAAUAUCUCAUUGGCUAUCAUAUUUUUAAAUUUGGCACCCUCGUGGAGAUGUCCUUGAUAUGUGAUUUGAGUACCUCUUUGAUUCAGAGUUCUGUACCUUUCAGCAUAGAGGAUACGACCUUGUGAUGUGCUGCAGGCAGCCAUCUAUUUCAGUUCUAAACUUUCUGUUAUUGUCAUCUGAAGUAUAUGUAUAUACUGAUAAAUGUUGACAUCAUACCUCAGCAAGCUGGGUAAUAGAAAGUUUGAUAGUGUUUGUAGUUAGUGUAUUACUAGUAGCAAUUUGUAUUGCAUGGUCACCUAAUGUUCCUGACCAUGCCAAGAUCGGAUCUGGAUUGCCUGAUGCCUCGGUGCUUUUGGAGGAGAAGCUCUUCAUUUGCUGCUUUCCUCAAAUUAUAGUAAGGGAAUGGGAGAUACUGCGCAGCCAGAACAUGGAGCCGGGGUCUUCGUGAAACCUGUAGGUAGGAGCUCGUAGGUUAUUUGAAUGAGAUUAGAUUUUACCUGUUUUAGAUUGCAAUGUAUUCUAGAUGUAGAGCCUUUUUGAGUCACAAAGGCAACAGGCUAUAUAGCGAUUCAUACAUCUUCAUUGUGCUGAGACCUCUAAUGGAGUGACAAACAUAUGUCAAAAGCAAUAUAGAAUGCAAUAUUUAGACCAGUUCGCUUUUUAGCAGUGUUUACUUGGGGUUUGCCUGCAGAUAUAAUAUCAACUCCGACCAGGUGGUUAACACAACAUUCGUAGGGUUGAAUUGGAUUCCUGCAACCAAACCAAGUUCUUAGUUAUGAUUUGGGAGGAUAAAGUAUUCGGCCAAGCUGUGAGAUUUUGGAAAUGUGAUGGUUACCGUGGUGGGAUAUAAAGUAUUCGACCAUUAGAAAUAAUAACGAGUUUUUCCCUUCACCAUUGAGUACAUAUUUGAGAAAGGUAUUGCAAAUUAGCUGUUGGCUACCACCAUAGCUUGUAAGAUUUGGUGGGGUGGGAGGUCAACGGUUUAAACGUUGUCUUUCACCAUUUGCCACUAUAUGUGGCUUGUUAUUUAAGUGUUUUUUUAAACGGCGUACAUCCGUCUGGGACGAUGAUUCAGUCCUUUCCGAUCUCUCAUUAGUCUUAUUCGGGUCCUCUUCCCUUAGUAUAGAUUAAGUGUAGGUCUAUUGUAAACGUGUAAACAAGUCGAGUUGAGUACAAUUUUGACUUAAUCGAGUCGAGUCUCAAAUUAAUUUUACGAAGUUCAAACUUGAGAUCGAACUCGAUGAAUUCAAAAUGUCGAGCUCGAGACUCAAAUUUGAGUUGAGCUUAAAAAUUUUUAAAAAAUAAUUAAUUUAUUUUAAAAAAUAAAUAAAUAUUUUAUUUUUUUAAAAUAAAUAAAAUAAUUAUUUUUCUAACAAAUAAUAAAAUAUUAAAUAUAUAUAUGUAAUUUUACUAUUAAAAUAAAAAAAUAUAUAAUCGAGCUCACGAGUCGCUCGCGAGCUAACAAACUUUGAAUUUGAGUUCGACUUGAUCCUCGAACUCGAUAUUGAUUGAAUUCGACUUGAACUCGUAUUUGAGCGGCUCGCGAGCGAUUUGAUUCGUUUGCAAUCAUAGUCUAUCGCGUCAGAAAAAAAGGGAAGGUAUUGCAAAUUCUACCUACACGGCUUGGCUACAAAUAAUAAUGAUGGGAUAUAUUUUUUUUAUUUACAAUUUGUCUAUAACCGAGUGAUAAGAUUUGACUCAUUAUCACUAUUUGGCGAUAUAAUAUUGAUAUUGACCCUAGUGCAGCGCAUCAGAAUUAUUAGUGGUGUAUGUGAAAAAUCAUAUUUUUUGUUUAAAAAAAAAUUAAUGAAUGCUCAUGUCAUUAAGACCAAUCUUAGCAACUACACUAAUAAAUUGAGUGACUAGUGACUAAAUUAAUACCGGAAAAACAAAUGUGAUUUUGGUGCAGAAAUAAGCACAGUAAUAACUUAGGUGCUUUUUCCUAAUUUAGAGUAUAUGAUUUUUAGUCUCAUCACUAUCUGACUAAUAUAUAUAUUCCUAACAACUUAACUUACGAUGUCGGACAUUUAUGAAGUAACGAUAAGCUUACGUCUUACCUACCUAGUCAUGACUGGAUUUACGAAGGUUUGUAACGGACUCCAUGAGUUUAGGAGAUAGAUUAAUCUAAAAUGCGUGCAAUUUAGGCCUAUGAUUUCUACAUAGCUGAAAUAGGUUCGAUUGGCUAGCCCCGUAGUCCAAAAAUGUUACAUAAACUGACUUGAUUCUUGAUGAUUGAAAUACUAUUCCGCCCAAAAGACUUCUGUCUGAUGAAACUGAAGUCGAAAAAGAUCAGAAACAUUUGCAUCUGAAACUUUCUUGAGCCGUCCCAUUGAUUUAACUUGUGAGGGAAUAAAGGAGCAGCAUCAACCCAGCUAAUAGAGGUCACGGGAAAUUUCUUCAUUGGGCAAUCCAUCAAUAUCAGAUGAAGCCGUAAGAGCAGUUUUUUUACUUCCAUCACGUAAUUUGCAGCUAUACUCACCUCUAUGUUUGUUCGUAAUUAAGUUUGAGUUCUACUUUAUCUUGAAGUUUUGCUCCAACUUUUCAGCAACUGCAGGAGAGUCGCCCCGUGACGUAUCUGGGUUAUAGAAAUGUCACAUGCGUAUUAGGUGUUUGUGAGAAUGACUGCUUGAAAGAUGAGUAUUCAUAGUUGGGUUCUCUGCCUGGGAUCGAGUUAUUUAGCUUAUUUGGUCUUCAUUCCAGCUCUUUUUUCUUUUUUUUUGGUUGGGUCAAUGAUGAUGUCAAUAAGAGUAGUAAUUACCUACUGCUGACUGUAAAUUUUUAGUCUGGCAGUUCAUUGAUCAUUUGUAUCAAUUUGCUAAUCAGUCUACUUUACCAUAUGCACUUCCUUUACGGUUGUCCUUUGGCUUAAAUGUUCAUUAAGUUCAAUUGAGAUUGUUCAUUGAUCAUAUUGACUAGGAAAUCAAUGCACGCAAUAGAAAUUUUGAAGAGUUUUGCAGACCGUGUUUCUGUCCUACGUCUGUAUUUUACGCAUUUCAAUCUACUUCUUCGUCUAAUUCAUAAUAUUCUAAUAUCAAGUAAUUGUUGUCUUUAUAACCUAGUGGUGAUUUUGUUUUCAAAAUUGACAGGAAAUCUCUUUGGCACAUCUAAACUCCUGCAGCUCUUAUAACUGGCUUUGGCGAAAGGGAAACUUUAUUCAUCGUAUUAUCCUGGACUUUUGGUACUGCUAAGAACAUUGGCCGAGUAUUUUACAGAUUAUAAUGUCCUUGCGUAGGCCUCCGCUUCCUCGCCUUCUCCUGAACAAUGUCUCUUGCAUGCGAAAUGCUCAGCAAAUACUUCGUCAUGUAAAUGUUUCUGUUCAUGAUGGUGGUCACUUGUGCUGACAGGCACCAAUGGCUCAGGCAAAACUACUUUCUUGCGCAUGUUAGCAGGAUUUCCAAACCAUCAGCAGGUGAGAUACUCUGGAAUGGUCAUGACGUCACAGAAUCUGGCGUUUUCCAUCAGUACAAGCUUCAGCUUAAUUGGCUCUCUCUUAAAGAUGCUAUCAAAGAUAAGUUCACCGUCCUUGACAAUGUUCAGUGGUUUGAAGUUCUUGAAGGCAAGCAAGGAAGGUCUCUGCCUGCUUUGGAGCUUAUGGGACUUGGACGAUUGGCAAAAGAGAAAGCAAGAAUGCUUUCUAUGGGUCAACGAAAAAGGCUGCAGCUAGCAAGGCUGUUAGCAAUUGAUCGGCCAAUUUGGUUACUUGACGAGCCUUCCGUGGCAUUGGACGAUGAUGGGUGAAAUUGCUAGAAUAUAUAAUUGCAGAGCACAGAAAGAAGGGAAGUCGCAUUGUGGCCACUCAUCUGCCAAUUAAGAUUGACGAUGCAAUGAUCUUAAGAUUGCCGCCAAGUUCCCAAGGAGGAUGACUUUAGUAGACAUGCUUGAUCGAGGUGGAUUAGAUUGAGGAUAUUGAUAUUCCUAAUCCAAACAUGUGAAAUGGUUUAUUGGAGAAACGUCAUGGAUCAAACAAAAAUCACAAGUAGGACUUCAGAUAAAAUGAAGAUUCUUCAUUAAUUGUCACUGUAAGUUUAACAUUUAUGUACAGAGUUUGUGCUUGCUAAAAGGGCAUCCGCAUCUUUCAUUUAAAGAAAACACAGUGAGACAGAGGCAUUUAUUCUAUAACGGUCUUUCUUUUGUUUCUGGUUCUAUUCUUUGGUGCAUGGCCUCUAAAUAACCAUCCUUGCAUGGACUAAUCAGAAAUCCAUCAUGCAACACUUUUGUUGCCUUCAUCCAACAUUUCGUUGUUCAUGUUGCAUGAUUUUAGUCUUCAAUCUAUAUGCUUUGUGAUCAUGGCAAUAGCAUCUUUGAAAUCUUGUGCAGAGCCUGUGCUCAAGGAAAACCAAAUUAAUUCUUGGGAAGUUGAGGAUAAGUAGUUUCAGCAAUCUGUACUUCAUUCUCGCUCUCGCCACAACGCUGGGAAGGUUGGGCUGUUGGGUGAUAUGUCCAGCAUUCCCAUUUUGUAUCGCAUCAGAGCAAAAUCUGAAUUUGUUAGUGCCUCAAUGUUAGAUGGGAUCUUUAGUUCCUCAAUAUAUUUGCCUCAGUUGCACUAGAAAUCAAUGUCCGUACUUCCACAAUUUUGCACUAAAAGUUACAUCGUGUCAAAGAUGAUGGGAUUUACACUUAUUUCACUUACUUAACUUAAGAUUUAAUAGUAUGAAAAUGCAUUCAUUUCCUCUGCAUUGAUAUGACAUAAUACUAUCGGAGUGAAACAGGGGGUCUAAAGGAGAACAGAGGUUAGACUAUAUUAGUAACAAGUAAACCUUUUGUGUGUAUUUACAAAUAUUUGGGGAAUAAAUACCAAUCGUAAGGUCUGAGACGACCCAGAAAGCACUUGAUCAUAUCAUGAUUAAUUUUGUAAGCCUACUUGGGUAUUGAGUAUUUACUUGUAAAACUGAAUUCUUUGGAAUCGAUAUUUGCAACUCCGGAAAAAGAAUUCAGUAAAAUUUUUCUUACAUUGAACCCUUUAUAUUAUAUAUGUGUGGAUAUAGGUAAACUUUAGCCGCACAACUUCAUUAAUUCUAGAAAAGUUAAAAGCUCUGAAUGAGAUUUUGCGUCCGGUAAUACAUGGGAUGCCUUCUCUAUUGAUUAUCAAUUGGAAACUGCUGAUAGUGAAACUCAAACCCGAGCUUCUCUUGAACAAGGCGAACGAUCUUUACUAGCUGUGGCAACUCUUAUUGGCUUUAUGGUUAGUCGCUAUUCACUCAAUAAUCUAAAAUACAAAACGUCCCAAUGUCAUAACUGAGGGAGUAUUAUAAUUUUGAUUUUGAUUCAAUGUCCUCAAUAAUGAUAGUUGGAAUGUUACAGAAGAAAUAUGGUCCUUGCAGAUUCUCAGCAAGACACAUGUUUGUAGUUGGUUUUGAGUAGGCCUGUUCAUCGGCGGGUCUAGACCCGGAUCCGGAGCGGAUCCGUGAAAUUAUUGUGGGUAUGGGUAUGGAUUUAAUUCCAUUCCCAGAUCCGUUUUGUCAAACAAAAAAACGGGUCGGAUACGAAAUAUAGUAUUCCGACCCGUAUUAGAUCCGGAUUCGGAUAUAAAUGAAUUAAUAAUUUAAAUAUAUAUAUUUAUCAAUAUAAUUUGAUUAGGGUGAUGUAUUUUAAUAAGUUAAUUUGAUUUCUUUUCUUAUUGGGUUUUUCUUUGCAUUAGUUAGAAAUUAGUUUACAAAUAUAUUUUUUUCUCAUUUUAAUUAGAAAUUAUAAAUUUUGAUAAAUUUGUUCGGGUAGACCAGGAUCCGGAUCCGGAUCCGGGACCCGCCGGAUCCGGAUCCGGAACAUAGAAUAAAAGACCCGUCGGAUAAACGAGUCGGAUCCGAAUCCGGCAUAGUAAUUCGGGUCCGAGCCCGAAAUAAUGAAUUUCGAUCGAAACCCGACCCAUUGACAGCCCUAGUUUUGAGUGCUUUGGAAUCAUAAAUCUUCUUAGGUAGGACUCGUAAUUGUGUAUCUCAGGAAAAGUGAGCAGUUCUAGAAAUUCUCCAGAAAUGAUGGACGACUUGUCCAAUUUGCUAUUUCUUGAUUGCCGCCAAUGCCAAUUGGUAACAUCAUCAGCACCUUUCAUAUCUCUUGAAAAAGAGAAUGAUGGACCGGACCCGCCAUUGUUCAUUUCUUCAUCAAAAUGGACAUUAUUGACCAUAACCAACCAAACAACAAAAAGUUGUUGCCCGCGGAUAAGGAAACUAUAUAUGACGAGACGUAAUUGUAAAAUUUAUAACUAUCAACACUCUCGAGUGUUGACUACAUAUUUUGAUUCCAAAUUUCGUACUAGUAUUGGAUGUUUUGUGAUUUUUUUGUGUCAGUUUUCUCAAUGUUGCCUUCAAAUUUUUUUUUUAAAUUAAUACAUGUUUCACUCAUUAUAACAGUAGAAUAAAAUAGAUAAGACUUAAAAAAAUAAAAGAAAUCAAUAUAGAAGUAAAUUUCUUACUGGUUUUAAAAAUUAGAUUGUGCUAGAAACUAAGAGAGGAUCUCAAGGCAAAAAAAAAAAAAAAAGAAAAAGAAAGGGAAUCACUAACAUGGACGUUAAUAUAAAUUUACUCUUAUUCUCGAGGUGGCAUUUAGGCUUUUUUUUCCUUAAUUUUUUUAACAUUAAUGGUUCCUCAACUUUGAAAAGGUGAUUUAACUAUUUUUUUUGAGUAGGCAAAAAAAGGUUUAAGAAUUCUUUUGGGAGAAGAAUGAUUUAAAAUACGUGUAUCAUCAAUACGUGUCCUUAGUAAGAAUCUCAUUUUAUUCUUUUUUUUUUUUGAAGUUUUAACAACUACUAACAAAGUAAAAAAUAAAUAAAUAUAGCAUACUACAAAAUAAAAUGAAAUAAUUAUUUUUUUUGCUAUAUUUUGUUUUUGUAGUCUAUUGUAUUUUAUUUCUUACCCGGUUAAGAGUUAUUGAAACUUUAAAAAGAAAAUGAAUUAUGAAAAUGAGACGGGAAAAAUUGAAAAAAAAAAACACACACACACAACACCGUAAUGGAAAGAUACGUAAUGCCUGCGCAGUAAGAACUAGUGUUCCAUUCUCAGUACUUAUCGGACCUACAGGCCGCAUUAUGCGCAUGUUCUUCCACUAUCAGCAAAAAAAAAUUAAGGGAACUAGUGGUGUUCUUUUUAUUGUUUCAGCCGUCUGGACUCUGAACUAAGUUCAGGCAAUAAUAAUGAAGGAACAUUCAUGGCUUUGCACUUUCAUCACACAGAUUUCCCUCUGUUUCUGUGUUUACCUAGCAUUUAACAUGGGUGACAGAACUGAGAGUAGCAGCAGGCCUGUUGAGACGUACUUUAUGAGUGUUGCAGGAGGUUUUAGGCCUGAAAAUGAACAGACCCUUCUUCUCAAACUGGUCAGUUUCUCGUAGUUUGCAUGGCUUUCUAUUGGUAAUAAAGAAAAUUUUGUGCUUUUUCAUCCCUUUUCAUUAGAUACCGGGUUUUUAAAUUAGAGGUUUGGAUUAUUGGGUUUGAACUGUUGGUCUAAUCUGUUUUAUUUGGUGACUUUGAAGGUUGUUUCUUGGCUGAUUUAAUUACUGCUUUGUUGUUAGAUUAUGGCCGAAAGGCAUUCUUGUACAGAGAUCAUUUUCUAUUGUUCAUCUGACAGUACUAUUACUGAUAGGAUUUUCUCUGUAGUUUUAAUAUGAAUGUUUGUUUAUUAGCUGUUCCAAUUUAAAGCCAUCCAAUUAUGCGGUGAGAGUUUUGCUUAUAUUGUCAUCUUGCUUUUGUGCUUGAUUUGACUGGAAAUUUCGAUUCUCUGUAAUGUUGAUGCAGAUGGAGAAGGUGGCAAAAGUGUACAAAGUACAAUUUGUAGUGAGCAUUAGUGAACUUGGGAAAUGAUCCUCUCGCCUGAAUGUAAGGCAUGACUUUUUAAUCGUUUAAAUGCACCUUUAUGCUGGAUUGUUCACCCAGUUCGAAGUUACCUAGAUAAGCACAAUUAGGUAAAAUUUGCUUGGUUAGACGUGUACAUAUUGAAAAAAUGACAGGCAAUCAAUAAACUCAAUACAGGAAUCGCUAACAUUAGAAACUAGCAAUGGAUAUUUUCUCAGUCACCUACCUACCUGUCUCCUGCAGAAAAGAUUACUGUUUUUGAUAUUGCUGUAAAUAUAUGUACUAAUGGUGGAACUGAUUUCGUCUGCUGUUGUAAUAAAUUCUACUUCUUCUCAAAGUACGGUUUACUCUUGUGAGGAACGGUUGUUUGUAGUCACCUACACCUGAUUUAUUUGUGCCAAAUAGUUUCAUGAAUCUGAUAAUUUGUGCAUGGUUCAUCAUCUCUUGAAGUUUCCUCAUAUAAUUCCGUUCUGUAGAGCAAAAUACAUUUCAUCUUGAACUUGUUCUUUUGAAGUAUCCUUGUGGUAGCAAAAUUUAGUUUUAUAGCAAAAAAUUACACCAGUCACAUUAUGGGUCUGAUUGGGAUCUCAUCAGUUAUUUAGGAUCUUGUUUUUACUUGGUAGUUUUAGCUAUAAGCAACUAAAAUGCAUUCUUUCCUAACAGGCCACGUGGUAUUUUCAGUCUCUAAAACUUCCCUGGUAUACCAUCCUUUACCAUGUCUGACUUUGGCAGUCUUAGUUGGAGGUUCAAAUUUGUUUAAAGUCCUUUUUCCCAAUUUCUCUUCAGCUGCUGUAACUUGUAGGUACACAACAAAAUCAUUCAAAGGACAAAGACCUGGUUCCUACCUCAAGCAUACAAAAGUUCAAUAUGGGAAAACCUUAGAUAUUGUAAUUGUGAAUACAGAGUUAUUUCAGGUAUGAAUCAUGCUUAACACAUGAACUUGAAUAUUCCCUUUCUUGCAAAUAAUAGUAGUCAUUUAAUUUUCUGAUGUAUCAUUAAAAGUCAAUUGAUGUUGAGGGUACAUGUUUUUGGUUUGUUUGAUUGGGAACAGUUCGUAUACUAGCAGGGUCAAGGUAGGGUUGGCAACCCUUGACUUUUCAAAUAGUGCUUUCUAGUUCUUUGAAUCUACUGUUGUGUUUAAGGGGUAUACAUCAUAGAAAUCUGCAGAAGAUCCUGUCCGUAAUUGGUGGCCCCAGUUUCUGUGCUAGAUGCAUCUAUACUAUGAAUUAGUUUCCCCAUUUCAAGAUUUUGCCUCCAUCCCUGUUUUCAGUGAAACCAUUUAAGGACAUUACCUGAAGUGUACAAUUUUGAGACAUGGUUUUGAUGCAUGGUUCUGAUGAUGAAUUGAAAUGAAGAAGAAAUACCAUGUGCAGGAAUGCUAGAUGCAUGAGCCUAAAUGAUACUCGAAACGUGUUAUUCUCUUCGGAAAAUAGAUCAUAUAAGAACCUGGAAAUCUCAAGGAAAAACCAAGUUUCCCAGUAAGAUGGACAUGGAAAUUAUCAAAGCUAAGGAGAAAGUGGCUUAAGUAGCAUUUACUUUUGUCUUACAAUUGCCUGGGGAUUUGGAUUUGAUCUUAUUCUUUCUUUACUUGAACAUAAUCCCACCAUUCACUUUAUACCUUCUAAACUUGUUUGGUUUUAAGGGGAGUUCAAUGUACUAAUUAAAAGUUCAGGUCAAUAUGUAUAAAUGUUCAAAUUCGGAAGCAAAAAGCCUACAUUCAAGAGAUUACAUCACAUGGUAGGCAUUGAAAAUGUUCAGUUUCGGAAUAAAGAGAUGCCUAUAUAUAUUACACAUAAGCGGUUCUCUUGCCCUCUCCAAAAGCAUGGUUCGCAAUAUGUUUCAGUAUCGGCUGAGUUGUAACCGGAACAGAGGGACCGGUUUUAUACCCAUCCCGAAUCGCGAAUAUCACUAUAUCCACGACGACUCGCUCUGACUCGGCCGAUAUUGGCCGAUUCAAAUCCGUGAUGCAUGAUAUCGGCCGAUAUAUCCAAGUCAACUCGGAAUUGACUCAGAUUUUUUUAAAAUUGUGUCUUUUUUUGGUAUUUUCUAAUUUUAGUAAUUUUUUAAAAAUUUUUGGAAACUUUCAUGUGCUAUAUAUGUGCAUAUCACCCAAUAUUCAACCGAUAUGCCGCGAUGGAUGUGGAACAACCAAGACCGCGACACAACCGUGACCCGCGAUGGCGAACCAUGCCCAAAAUUAUGCUCCACUGUAACUGCACAAUCCCUGUUAUUAAGCUCUUCUCAUCCGUCUUAUAGCCCCGCAUUUAUGAGUUUUGACAGGUUUCCUAGAACUAGAUUUCACUUGAACCUUUUUAUACCUAGGUCCCACCCUUUUGGCAGUCCUUGCCUAAUGUCAUAGAUCAGCUUGAGUGAUGAAAGAGCUACUAUGUUUUGCUCCGUACUUGAACCAGCUAAUUGUUAAUCUUGUAAUGGUGUCCGCAACUGUUAAAUGAAUAAGAAGAGAAGAAGAAACAUACUUCCAUUUCCUAGUGGACCAUUAUGGUCCUUAGCUGCAUACUUCACUAACUAUUUUCCUGCACUCUCGUUUUCAUUACCUCUUAACAAACUUGUAUUCUCCAGGGCCCUUCAGCUGGUGCUAUUGAGCAUCAGUUACUGUGGCUCAUGAAGACACUGGAAGAAAGCACCAGUGACUGGUAAGCUAUAGCUGGUAAGAUAUUUAUUGGAAAUGGACAAAAAUUAAUUUAAUGUGAACAAUGAUGUGGCUUAUCUUCCUGGAAAUAAGAUUGUCAACUUUGGAACCAAUUUCAAGGGUAAAUGAAAAGUAGCUUUUUUCUUCUGAAAAUUUUUUGCGCAACUAUUGUGUAGCUUAGUUGUAUGACUAUGCAGUAAAAGAAUAAAAAACCAAUGGUCUAAAGCUUAGAAUCUUGCACUACUUCUUAAAGAGGAUUACAUUUCUUCUUUCAAGGCCUGUUGCUACCUUCCGUGGCAGCUUGCUCCAUACUUUUUACAUUCAACCCACUGUCAAUUAUUAACAUCUUCUGGUUUGCUUUUUGGUUUUCCUAUUGGGGCAAAAGGCGCAUUGUUGUUGGUUUCCACCCACUGUUAGCUUGUAAUGGAAGUACGGAAGCUAAAGACAAUCCUCUGUGUCUUCAUGAAAUGUUUUUGAAUCAUCGAGUGGUGAGUGGUAGUUUUGGCAAUCAAAUUCUGUCCAUAGCAUUCAAAUAGUAAACCUUCAAUGCAAACACCUAUUCCCAAAAUUCCUGACAUAACUGAAUUCAAAGGCCCAUACUUCUCUGAUGUUUCAUGUAUCUUCAAGCUUCCUCCUGAAUCUCCUGAAUCUUUGCAUAUGAACUUUGUCCUAGUAGGACGCUUACCUCAGUGGCCAUGCUUGUACCGAACAUGUUCACAAACAGAGUGCAAAACAGCCUGGUAAUGCUGAUCAACCGGGCAAAGGACCUUGUCUUACUCCAAUUCGUAGGAUAUUUGAUCAAAACAAGUGAGUGCUUCAUCCUUGUUCUAAUCUUCUAAGGUGAUGUUUAUGCCUGAAGCAUUAUUGAUAACCAUCUUCUACUGUUUUGUAUCUUUUCCAGGGAAAAGGUGAAUGGUUUGCUUCUACACAGAGUCAGUUCCUAGAACUGGUGAGUGUUAACAUGUUAUGAUUUGUCCUUUGAAUAAUCUAAAUUUUGAACUUCUGUAACCUCCAAUUUUUUUUUUUUUAUAACAGGUAACUUAUUCAAUAAACUUGGAGGGGGAUGUUGCACACAAGAUUGAACUUCAACAAAGUGGUAGAGAAGCCAUGUGAUGUGCUCAAAGACCUUAUAAUCAUCCCAAAGCCUUGGUGCUUGUUUUGCUCUACCUUUUGUCUUCUGUAUAGAUUUUCAAUUAUUUUCAUAAUUUUAAAUACCAUGUCUUUGAUCUCUUUCUGAGUUUCUGGCUUAACAGUAACAAUCUUUGAUUUGGUUCCUGAGGUACCAUAUUAGGUCCUGCAAUUUAAGCAUACUGAGUGGUACAUUUGCUGGAGUUGUUUCUUGUACCCUUUAUGAGAGGCUUGUUAUUCUUGCGUCUGGUCUUUGUGGAUAAGGUCAGGAGAUACACAUCCUUUCCACUACCAAUUGAUAUGCUAAAAGUCUUCCCUUUCCAAGAUAUGCAACCAUGAGCAAGUCAUUCCUUCCAAGAUAAAGUUUUGAGCACUCCUAUUAACAUGACCUUACAGAAAACGGCUGAAUUAUAUGGGUAAAAUUUUUGCAUGUUGCCCCCUUAUAUACCAAAUAACUUUGAAGAAUCUUGAUUUACAAAGCAUGUGAAUGAACGUUCUUUAUUCGAAACUGUAGAGAGAUAGAAUUUUCACAUAGUCGACCUUUUGUUUUCUAGUCAAGUCCUACAAAUUUAUUCACUAGUAAGUUGUAAAAUUCUAAAGUUGUCUUGACAUUAUCAUUCCGAUGGGAUUAGAAACUGGGCUGUACAGUCUUCCAGUCGCUUUAUUUUUCUAUACAUACGUGUUAAUCGCCUUGCUUCUAAGUUACUCUUGAGCGUAUGUUGGUUUUGGCCGACUUUAAUUCUUAUGUAUGUGAACUGUUCUACUAGGUGCGGUUUUGGUGAUAUAGAAUAGAGCUGGUUGCCUUCCAAAGGGCCUUGGUGCAAUUCUUUCUUGAUCUUUUUGUGCCAUGAUCAUAAAUCUCCGACAAGUGGAAUUAGUCUUUCUAGGUAUUCACUUGUUGGAUUGUAGAAAUUGAUCCUAGGGUCUCCCAAUUGUCAGGUUCCAUAAAUUGUAGAGAAAUGAUCCUAAGGUCUAUUGUUGGAGAAAUUGAUCCUAGACUAUUUUGUUAAAUUUUGUGUUCAAGAAAUUGAUCAUUGUCUCCUGUUGAAUUUUGGAGUCCUCGAACAUCGAAUAUACUGGGGUUCUCAACUUCAUAAAAUUUGCCUAAUCAGCAAAUCGGCCAAAGAUAUCAAGGGAGGGAUCCUGUAGAGAUUAUACUCGAAGUUAUAUUGUGUUUGGUGUUGAACAGUUGUCUAAGUUAUUGGUUGUGCUCGCCUCGAUUAAGCCAUCUGCCAAGUGACACCCAAUCCAAUGUAUGAAGUUGGAAGGGAAGGCGGCUAUGAAAGGGAGGCGAAGCAGAGUUGACAACUACCGAGAUUGAUCCUCUGCACACCGAGUCAUGGCACUCACAUUGAUCCUCAGCGCACCCACGAAGAGCCCCCCCCCCUCUCUUUUAUGUUCCAAACUGCUAUUCGCUACUUACUAUUAAACGAUGCAAUAUGUUUUACCUUUUUAAGUAGUGGUGUGUAUUAGUUACUUGUUUUGAAGUUUUGCUUCUUAUUGAGAAACUAUGUAUAGUUUUGAGAUGCAGGAAAAACCUGUAGGUCCUUGCACCAUAUAUCUAGUCUUACAAUUCUGAGGUAUCACUGUUAACAAUUCUAGAUCAUCAACACUUGCAUAAUGAGGCUGGCUUAGGUAAUACACCUAAAUAACUGUAGUUGUAUGGCUGGAAACCUUGAGGUACCCAGUCCCUUUGCUAUUUCGAGACACACUGCUGGCACAGUGGUCUUUCUUUCUGCAACAUUCAACCUUCCUCCAUCUUAAAUCUGAUCAUUGAGUAUAGUGAGUAGGGUCCAUCCUAAUAGGAUUAGAUUUUGAAGAAUCUAAUGUUAACAAAUGAUGAAAGAAGUAAUAUGAACUUUUACAUCUGGAUUGAAGUCAGUUGAUCUCAGCAUAUGUAGAUGACAGCUUUGACCAAAUUAAGAAUAUAUUUUACUCAUUGUUAAUUUGCACCUCACUUGUAAUUUGGAAUUCUAGCAGAAGAGAAGUUUGUUUGACAAGAAAAAAUCGGCUGAAGCUGAUAACUUAAGCAUAAAGUAAAGCAGGUUGACUCACUUAAAACUUUGAUUUUGAAAAGAAGUAGUGAUAGUAUGCAUGCCCUUUCAUCGUGAUAGAACAGCAGUUCAAGUUUGACUGUUACAUAGGCUAUCAAGUGAUGCCCCAUAUUGGUUGAUUACAUGAGCCAUACAAAUGAGAGUGGAUAAUAUAUAAGAUUAGAAAUUCAUAUAGAAUCAUCACUUCUACUUACCAUGUGAUUAAGCAAUAGAUUUGUUCAUGUGGUAUAGUAUUGUGAAGAAUUUGGUUUAGUGAUCUCCUUCCUCUCUCUACUCCUCCAUACCUCACCAACCAAUGCCAAGCCACCAAAAAUAAGUAAAUAAAUUGAUUGAAAUAGGAAACAGAAAGUGUAACAAAUCCAGAAAAUUGUAACUUAAGUAAGAAUAUUUGACUGUGAACCGAUAUGUGAAAAGAUUAUCCUUCAUUGUACUCUUGCUUUGGGAGGAAUGCAGGCGUUCAUGGAUCAUACAUGCACAAUAUCUCAUGGAAUCAAUUCAACCUAUGAAGAUAAUUUGUUUUUUCAUUCUUAGCUUUGCGAUAUAGGCCUUUAGUAUGUCCAUUUGAUACAUUGGUGCUUCAUCUCAUAAUAUAAUAGAUAUCUUUUCCUUGCAUAACUUGUAUUAGUGGUGUAUUGCUUGACCUUUCUUACUAGAUGACAUUGCUGCAUAUUGUCUUCGAUGAUACUUACUUUUCAACACUAUAAUUUCUAUUCUGUUGCCAUAAAAUUUGAAGUGCUUUUAGAGCAACCUGAUAUUUGAAAACUUUGGGGAAUAGUUCUAUUAUGGACUCAAUCCAAUACUGCUCUUGAUAAGGGAAGCAAAUGAAACCACCGUAUUUGCACCUUAGGAUGUCCUUGUCUCUCCUUCAGAAGGGGGAAGUUGGUCAAAUUGUACAGUUAAUGUAGUUUACGGGGAAUAUCAACUGUUUUUUGAUUUACCUGAAGUAUAUUCUAAGUGCACCUUGUAUAUUUGCUAUCACAACCUUUUGGCCUUUUGGUAAUUGAGGGGUCAUUUGGUUUAUGAGAUGAUGCAGGAUUGCAUUAUUAAUCGUGUCAUCCUGUUUUGCUGUGUUUCUGGUUGGGAUCCAUUAUCCCAUUCUCAAAUUUUGUCCUAUAGACUAGCAAUACAUCCUUGUUAUUGAUGUGCAAACCAAACUUAUUCUCUUCCGUUUUGAUUUCCCUGUAUAUAUGUGUGUUAUAUCCACUCCAAUUGUAUUAUCUGCUCUUUUGUAUUUUAACGUGAUUGUGAUUGAUAUGGUUUUGUGUUGUAAGUAUUUGAUGGUAAUAUCUUGGGGAAGAUCAAAUAGAGGCACACAUAAAAAGAGAUGCACAUGGACAACCACACACACAUGCAGGUUUUUUUUGGGGGGUUUUUGAGGGGGGGGGGGGGGGGGGGAGAGGUGAAGGACCGCUUAGGAGAAUGAAAUGGUUUUGGGAGCUCAAGCAUCUUCCUCGUGUCAAUCUCCAUACCUUUGUGACAGAUGACUCCAAAGUCGUCUUAUGAUUUUUUUGGCAAGCAAGACUGACUUAGUUUGACCUUCUGUGGGGGAGAAAAGGGGCAAAGAAUAAAUGAAGGUGAAAAAACAGAGGAUCAUGUUAAUAAACAUCAAACUUAAGAAGAUCUUCAACAAAGAAAAUGGCUUGUCACCCUAUAGAUAUAAUUGAAUGCAACAUCCAGGAAAAAACAGACUUGGUUUGUGUAGCUGUACUUAGUAGCUGAUUUAUCGUUCGUCUUUUGGAUGUUUAUUUUUAGUUUGUGUCCUUUUUGCCAAAUAGUCGAUAAAGAGCUGAAUUGGAAUGCAAAGGGGAUUGUGAAUAAUAGUUAAGUGCUUGGGUAAUAUCUAGUUAGGAGGGAAAGGAAUACUGAGGUCUUUUAAGUUGCUCCUCCCAAAUAGUUAAUGUUACUGAGUUCUAGGGAAGCGGCCUUCUUUAUGUUGGUAUCUGCUGUUUGUUCUUAAGCUUUAUGUUGGACUGGGUAACCUAGUUAGAAGUAUAUAUUGGCUUCGAGUGAAUAAAGAUUCAGUUCAUGAUCAAAUUUGACAAGCAACGUUUUGAUGUACGAUGUGUUUUCUCCCAGUAAUUAUUAGUUUGGAAUUCGAUAGACAGAACGAAGAUAUCUGAACUCGCUGCAAUCAUGCUUGUGCUAUGCUGUCAUCUUUUUGACAAAGAUGAAUCAUUUUGAGAUCAACAUCUCCCAUCUUUAUCCCACGAACCUUGCCUUCGUUGCAUUGCAUCAUGUGCUGACAAAGUUUGUGAAGUGCUGAAGUCCCAUCCAUCAUCUUUUGCAGUGGGACAGCAGAGCAUUUUUUACAAUUAUGUUCAUGGGAUAAGGUAAAAAUUGAAAUCGGGCAUUUUGUUACUGUUAUUUAGCAAAGGGAAGCGUGGACUUCUGGUGUAAAAAAACAAAAAAACAAAAAAAAAAAAGGCAGACGGGUUGCUUUAGCUGAUAUCAAUGAGAAAAGCCAAUUUUCUGCUGAAACUACAGAUUCAAGAUGUGCAGUUUACAUAUUGUACUCUCAAAACACUACUACUGUACUAUAAUAAGAAGAAAAAGUUUGCCCUGUGGUGUGGUGCUCUUCCCAUUCACGACACGGAUAGACUAAUGGUAGAAUGCUGCUGCUCCCAUCAACUUCAGUCAAUGAAUUUCCGGAAACGCAACUUCCAACUUGGAAGUCACGGAUUACGAUGGUUUCUUUAAGAUUUAAUAACUAAAAAAUUGUUAGGUGGGAAAUUCAUAUACUACAUUUUAUUACAGCUAAAGAUAGCACUAGAAGUCUUUUCAUGAUGGUGAAAGUUUGAAUCUGAGAAAUCUAUCUUCAAUUUUUUUUUUUUCCUUCCCAAACGCUAUCUUCAAUUUUGUUUUGUAGUUAAAAUGUGUACUCAGCACCACCAUGGUUUUGGACCUCAGCCACUUUUUGAGGUCUAUUCUGCCGACUUAUCGUCCAUGAUUUGAUUUCAUAAUCAUACGUCAAUGACAAAUAAAUGGAGCAUCUCUAAUUCCUUUCCCUUUGCUUUAAUUAAAUGGUGUCUUUUGCUAUUUUCUUUUUUUAAUAAUCUUUUUUUUUUAUUCAUUAGUCAUCUAAUGAAAUUAGUGGCUCUAGAAUGAAGAGACGAUGUGAAAAUUAAAAAAAAAAUAGAAAAGAGGAAAGAAGGCAAAGAAAAAUCGAAAUUAAGAUUAAAGAGAGGCAAUUUUGUCUCAUGAGGUAAAGCGACACAACUGAAAGGUUAGGAAAUAAGGUGAGAAUGAGGCCAUACCUAAAGGGGAUUUAUGGUAAUUAACCCUAAAUUUCUACUUCAAAUGAUUUGAGAAGGUCAUGAGUAAAUGCAUCCCAACAUUAUUAUUAAUAUUUUCUUUGUGGGAGAUAGAUGUCUAAUUCGAAUUAAUAGGUGACUUCUCGUGGUGAAGUGCGGGUUUUUUGAGUUCAAAAUGAUUUUUGGGCAUGCUACUUGAUCUUUAGAUGUCAAAAGGUCAUUGGACUGCUGUCCUUUCUUAUUAGUUGGUCUUGCUUUAGGAAAAGAGCUAGUAGUACUGUGUAGUUGGAUUUCAUGCUAUUAUUUCGAUUGGACUUUUGUGAUGAAACCUUUCGUUAUAGUUAUCAUAUUUGUCUAAACGGAAGGUUACAUGAUUUGUCAGAUCACCUAAGCAGGAUGUUAUCAUGUUUUCUCUUUUCACAUUUGCACUAAGAGAUGAGGCUGCAAAAAUUUCCUUGUCAAUUCGUUUCCAAAAAAAAAAAUUUUUUUUUUUUUGAUACAAAUUGCAAAGAUUUUGGUAACACAUUAGUUUAGCAAUAAUUUAAAAAUCUUACUAGCGGGUUUAAACUAUAAUGGAAAAUCAUACUGGGCUUCAGAAAAAUGUAGCACUAAAACUAAUUAUGAUUACUAGCGGGUUUAAAAGAGUAAAGUGAUAGUGCCAAACUAAUUAUGAUUUUUCUCUUUUUUUUUUUAUAACUGGGAGAUUUUGAAUUCAAGAACUCAUGCUUACAAUCAAAUCAAAAUUUGGUUUUGCGUAUUAUGCAGUCAGCAAUCAAGUAAAACCUUCUUUGGCAAAGCUAAGUUUGUUUGCUACAAGUCUUUUAACAAUUUUAGCUGCAAUAAUCUCAAAAAAUUUCUCAAAGUUUUUAAACUAUACAUUUCAAAAUAUCCAAAAAAUUACACACUUCAAAAAAAUUUUCUACAGCUUCUACCGUAAGUUACAAAAAAAUUUCCACAUGAGACCUAACUAAGUUUAACAAUUUCCACAGUUAUUUUUGUUGCUCAUCCUGAUGAGGCCAAGAGAUAUGAUGCUUAAAUAACUAGUCUUCUGAACACCACCAAAACCAAUUAAUUAAUUGUUCCGGUGAAAACAGUUAUCUAUCUAAAAGUCAAAGAAUCACAAUCUUAGAAAGAAUAGGUUCUGUGGCUGUCAAUGAGUUAUCACACGACAAUUCUUGAUCAAAAGUAAGACCAGCUAAUCAGUCACUACUGGAGAAGGAUUAACUUUUCCCGAAGUUAAUUUAGGUUUAGAAAAAGAAGUCUUUUGGUAUAAAUUUCCUUACGGGACAAAAUUCAAUGAUGACAACAACCAUUCUGGUUUUUUUUUUUAAAUUUUUUUUUUGUUUUGGUUGCUGUGGGGGGGGGGGGGGGGGGGGGCUCUGAAGUAAGUGGUCUAAAGUGGUUAAGUUAAGAUGUGUUCGUUGACCAAAGCACCACAGCUCCUAUGAAGGCAACUUAAUUUAGGUAAGAAUUCAGACAUUUGAGUCAAUGGCUUAGGGAGAAUUCUUUGUAAGUUUAUCUUUGGACUUUGUGUGUUUCUCGUUUGUAUCAAGUUGUCAAUUGGACGAUUUGGACAGAACUCAAAAGCAGCCGAAAUUAGCAAAUCAACAACAAGAAACAAGUUUUCAUUAUUGAGAACUGAGAACCCAAAAGCAUUGACAAGAAAUGUUUAAUCUCUAAGCCUAAAAAGAAGGACAGAAGUCUUUUAUUGUAACCAUGCACUUAAGGUUUGAUUUCGCCAAGCUCUACCUCCUUGAUGUCUAUUCCCAUUUACGUAUUAAAAGGAUUGUUUUUUUUAUUAUUAUUAUUUGCUUUAGUUAUUUUCUUACCUUUUGGAUUUUUUUUUUUUUGGAGAAUUGAUCACCUUUUGGAAUUCAUUCCAAUUAACUAUGAGUUUCAGAUUAAGAACUUUUGUUUCGUCUAUUUCCUCAAUAAUCAAUUGAUCAUGACUCCGAAUUUGUUUACGUGCAUUAGAAUAACUUAAUGGCACAAUUAAAUAUUCUUUAAAUAUAUGUCAUACAUGAUUUAUAAAAGGGUAAAAAAACAAAAAAGUCCCCGUGGUAAACCUAAUAUACAGAAAAAAUCCUCCGUGAUUUUAAAACGUACAACACGAGACCUCAUGUUUUGAACUAAAUUGUUAAGAUGACGGAAUCCGUUAAACUUAACGAAAAUGGAUGAAAUGAUAAAAAUGUCCUAAUAUAAUUAAGCAAAAGACAGGUCAACAAAAUUAUUUGUUUUAUCCUCUAGAGAAAGAAAAUUAAGAGUUAAGGGGAAAAACAGGUAUAUUUGUUAAAAAUUAGAUAUAAUUUUUUUUUUAAAUUCUAAUAAGCCAUUUCCGUCAAGUUUAACGGAUUCCGUCAUCUUUACAAUUUAGUUCAAAACAUGAGGUCUCGUGUUGUACGUUUUAAAACCACGGAGGAUUUUUUCUGUAUAUUAGAUUUACCACAAAAGGUUUUUUUUUAUUUUUUACCCUUUAUAAAAGUGUAAAUUGGUCAUUAAUUGCUUGAGUAUUGCAAAAAUUGAAUGGGGUCAAUUUGAUGAAAAAAAAAAAGAAAGAAAGAAAACGCUUCUGUUAGAGGUCCGAAAGUGAUGGAAAACAAAGGGUGUCUUUUACAUAAUUGACCAACUUGGAACUUUUUUGGAAAAUGAUAAAAGCAAGAUAUAAUGUACACACUAAAAAUUAAUCUUCUUCUUCUAAUAAGCUGGAGAGCACUGGAUUUAUUCCGAAUUACUCAAAACAAGAACUGGAUUUUGUAAUGACCAUACAAGAGACGAAUAUUUUUGGAUUCUUCUUGAAAGGUACGUGCGUGUUGUGGAAGGAUAGAAUAAGGGCGACUUUGCUUAAGAGAGACAAUUGGUAUAAUUAAACCUGUAAAUGCAGGUGAGUUAAAUGUGUUUGCUUCCCGUGUUGUCUAAUGCAUCAUUGGGCUCCAAAGGUAAGAGAAGGGGGGCGGGGAGUCCCGUCUAGCGUGUUCUCACCUUUUGGAAUGGCAUUUUUCUUCAAAAAAAAAUUUCAUAUUUUUCGUAAAUAUAUUUUUUUAUAAAAUUACUUUUUUAUCUUACAUACAUUAAAAUCGUUGUAAUAUAAUUUUUCUACAAAAAUUACAAGAAAAAGCAAUCCAAACAAUACACAGUCCAAUUCUUUUACGAAACUAUAGCAUAAUUGCUUCACUCUUGUCCCUUUCUCUUCCUCUGAAUUUUGAUAGUAUCCCCUUUAACUUCGUAAUUGUCCCCUAAAAGUGUGUGAACCCUUACGACCAUCUUCAACAUUUCUAUGAGGAAACAUUGAACUAAAAUAUAUAACAAGCUGAUACUUUUUUCCUUUCUAAUAAAUGUUAUUGUAACGCUGUGUGAAUUGAUUGAUUAUAUCAUUUAUUUUUUCAUACUAAAUUUUAUUUUAAGGUUCUGAAUUCUAAUCCCUCAUUCCCUUUCCCCCCGCUUAUACACACACGCGCGCGCACACACAAUCCCAUAUAUAUUUUAAAGUUUACGCUAAUCACUCCUAUACACUAAAAUAUAGGGGGAGAAAAAGGAAAAACUGACCUUGAGACAAGUAGGACAUUUUUACACAAGAUGGAUCUGAACCAUUAAUGUAUGUUUGGAUUGUCGAAUAAUUUAGCAGUUUAUGAGAUGCAAUUGGACAUGUCAAAUGAAUCUAUUGGCAAUCUCAAGCAUAAUAAUAGAGCCAUGAAACCCUAAAGAUGUGAGAAAUCCACUUCCAUUUCGUCCUUUAAUUUCCAUCUAAAGAAAGCGUUGACCUGAAUGGAUCACACACACAUGCACCACUUGCAGUUCCCUUUUCCUUUUCUCUGAAGAGCUAAAGAACCACGGACACAGACUAUUGUACUAGCUUAGCCAGAAUAAUUAAUUUAAACCUUCAAAAAAAAUUUUAAAAAGAAGGGAUAAUUAAGGUGAACCAUUGCUGUCAGGGACUUUUUCAAGGCAGCACGAGACCCUAUUUUGAUCCUUAAUCUCCGUAGUUAUUAUCUUGACUUAAUUCAUUAAUUAAUCCUGUUUCAAUCAUGUAAUUACUACUGAUACCAUCCAUUACAGUCAAAAUCAUCACAGCUCAUCCUCACAUCAUUAGUAAGAAAGCCCAGCACAUGAUCAUACCAAUAUUUAAUGUAAAGAAAAAGAAAAGACAUAAUUCUCAGUGAGUUGCAUAAACUUAUAAAAAAAAAAUAUUAAAAGAGAAAAGAAAAAGGAAUUCAUUUGGAAUUUUAGAUGGAUCUGUCCUCCUGUACUUUUGUUAGCUUCAAGUUAAGCUUCGCUUCCUCGUGCCAAGUCUAUCACUUCCAAAUACGGCGUCGUGCUGCUUACGCAUUUGGGUGGACUUGACGGCCGUCGACGAGAGUUUCAAACUUCGAAUCAAACGCAGUGCAGUCUUUCUCCACUAAACAAGGGUCAGUCAACAGUCAACGCCGUUACGACUCCCAACUUUCAAGGCUUGGAAACGGAAGCCGCGUCUUUGACGGAAGAGGGCUCUCCACCAGGUCCGCCACCACCGCUAACCAUCGUGGCUGACUGAACGGUCAACACCGACAUGCUAGGAGAUGAGGGCCCACCGGCUUCACCAACCCCGUUACCGCUAGCCCCACCUCCCAGCCCCAGAAGCGGGUUGUUAGCGCCAUUGCCGGUGAGACCGGGAUGCAUGGGAUUCCUGGAGUGACACGUGGCCGUAGAAAUGGCCGUAGCCAGAGAAAUAGGCAUGAGGCACAGCCCCUUACCCUGGAGAUACUGCAUGGCCGAUCCCAUGUCCUCUUCCAUUAGCUUAGCCACCUGGUGCUCCGUUACCGUCAUGCCAUCAUUAUUGUUGUUGUUCGAUGAUGACGCUGUUUGUGUUCCGUUACUGCUCCUUCCAUUCCCGCAGUCACCGCCUCCCUUUUAUAUUCAUCACAAACAACACACACACACACACCAAUGUACAAUCAAAUUAACCAAUUAUUAAACCACAUACUAUUAAAUUUCUUUUUUUUUUUAAAUAGAAAAUUUAGAUCAUUUUAGAAUUGCCAAUUUUUGGAAUGUAUAUGUAGAAGAAUGUGAGUACUAUAGUGAUUUAAUACAUAAGAAGAGAUAAAAUAAAAAAUGAUUUAAAAAAAAAUAUGUUGACGACGACAAAAAUGUGGUAAAAUUUUUUUUUUACUGGAAACCUACAAUCCAAAUGCAGCAGGCAGUCACUUGACUAUUAUUGAUUGCACGGAAACCAAAACCGGGGGUUGCUGAAUCAGCCAGCCGCCCAUGCCCAUGCCCAUGCGGGCAGGGGAGGGAGGUAGUGGUGGGGGAGGCAGUGGAAUGUGGAAAGCGAGCACGCGUGAUACACUUUUUGAUAAAUUGUCGUUUUCUAAGGAGGACAAGAAGCGUAUUUGAUUGAUUUUUUAAAAAAUGCAGGAGAAAAAGGUUAGAGGUGCGUGCGUGGUUGGUUUUGGAGAUGUCGACGAUUCCUGCUCCAACCUUUUUUCUGUUUUUGGAAAGAUUAAAAGGUUGGAGUGAGUUGGAGAGACAGUCAUCUUAUCUCAAUGCAAAAUAUUUUUUGUUUUAGCAGCUUAGCUCUAGGGAAAAGCAAGAAGCAUAGAGGUAAAUUAAUGCUGCCUAUUUUUGGUUUAAGUUGAAUUAGGUGCUUUUGGUAAAAGAAGAUUAGAUUGGCUAACGCAACAAUAAUGAAUUACUAAAAUUUGGUGAACGGAGACUUGUACAUUAGAUAGAUAGAUUAAUGUUCUGUGUGGAUUGUGUAUUUUUUAGAGUUUUAAUAGAAAAAUAUAUUGCAGUUAUUUAAUGCUAUAUGCAGGAUUUUUUUUUGGAAAAAAAAAAUGAUUAGAAAAUUGCAAUGCAAGAAAUAGAAUGUAGCAAGUACCUCAGAAGACAUAUCAGCAGCGAGGGGGGCAACAGCACCACCUAAUCUGCUCAUGCUCAGAACCUGCGUUACAUAUUGUAUAAUGACCACAGCUUAAACGGUUUGUUCAUCAUCAUCAUUAACCCCAAAAAAAAAAAUUGAAAAAAGAAAAGGUUUGGUUUUCAACUUUUCUAAUUAUCUUAAUCAAUCCCCAUUACUGUUGGUCACGGAAUUUCGCAAUAAACAACAACCAAAGAGAGGAAUUUUCUCGGACAACAAAAUAAGACGCCCCAUGUUCACCCCACCCCAUCUAAUUAAAACUAUAAUAAUAAUAACAGAAUUUGUCAACUAAAUAAAAGAAUCCCUCCCCACUUCUUCUUUUCUAAUAAAUAAAUACAGACAUCUACCCCUGCUACUCAUCUUCUAAUAGAAUACUACUAAAGUAAGGAGCGGAAAGGGGGGGAGAUUAGGAGUCAGUACUUUGACUUGGAGCUGGAGGAAUUUGACGUAGUCGAUGAUCUCGUCCAGCAUUGAAGCCUUGUCCGUCUGUCAUCCCCCCACCAAAUACAUCCAACAACAACAACACGGUAUCAGCCCCAUUUAAAAAUAGUAGCAGUGUGUGUUGUGAGCAGCAGUCAUACACUUAUCUCCAGUGUUAAAAAUAAGCACGAAAAAUGUUCGAUCCAUUAAAUCAAUCUGUGUGUACGAUGCGAUCAUAUGAUUCCAAUUUAAAUCACCUUUUUAUCUCUCGCAUAUAUUAAAUUACUACUACAGUAAUUUUUCUAUAAAAAAUUUAAAAAAAAAUACAAUCCAUACAAAGAAUAAAUUUUGUACAUGUGCUAGUAGUAAAAUAUUAUGCCCUGAUUUGUUCAUAAAAGAUUAUACCAGCAGUACUGAUAUAUAUAAUUAUACUGGCUAAAAGAUUCAAGAAAAAGGGAGGAAAGAAACCAGGAGUGCCGGUACAUCUGAGUCAGGGACUGUGCUUUUUUUUUUUAGGAGGAGUAGCUAUCAUCUGAUUAUGAAUGAUCCCUCUGUCACUCUAUCUGCUUUCCAGCUUUACAUUUUCAGGUACGCACGGAAAGAUAUAUACUGAACAAACUCCCCCCACUUUACCACAGUCUGUACUCCAGUGUACUCGCUCCCUUCAUGAUUAAAGUACAAAAUGUUGUCCUACCCCUACUAUUUUGCCCGCCCUAUGAUUUUCCUUGAACUUCAAUUCAAGAAACCCUCUUGCUUGUAAAUUCUUAUAUAUAUAUUUUUUAGAGCUUCAUGUUAUGGUACUAUCAUUGGAUUAAGCAGUUACACAAUUUGUGGAAGUUUAAUCAAUGAAAAAUUAAAAGUUAUCGCUAAUUCUUAGUAGUAUUAAUAGUCAACAAAAGAAAGAGACAGAGGGAGAAAGAUUAGACUGAAGCGAGUAGCUAGCGCGUACACCUUGUUUGCAUUGGGCACCAGUUCCUGCAGAGCCUUCAUUCUCUCUGCAAUUCUCUCUCUACGUAGCUGUCAUCACCCACAUUAUACAAACAAAUUCCAAAAACAGAAUCAGCAAAAUUCAGAAACUAGAAAACAAAUUGAAACAAGCGAAAAACAAGAAACAAAUUUUUGUACUGCUAGCCUAAUAACAGGACUGCAAAGUCACGGCUUCUAGUAUAACGUACUCUUUCAGCAAUGCUAUGUGGAUCCGUGGCUUGUCCUCUCCGGGCCCUCACCCUCUGCUGUCGUGGCUGCGCCGCCGCCGUCCCUCCUCCUCCGGCGGUUCCCAUUGAACCGCUUGCCGCGGCCUGGUUCAUUGCCUGGGCUCCAAAAUUUUGGGCUUGCAUCGCUCCGCCCUGUACAAAUUAAGCCAAAGACGCAAAUAAAACGAAAUCCCAUUUAUCAGUACAAGUUCCUUUUUAACAAACAAGGGGGAAAAAAGGUAGGGGAUGGUUUAGAUUUGAAAAUAAUCAGGAGAGAGACCUGAGGGUGGUGAAAAUGCUGAAGUUGAGUAGAGGGUUGAACAGUAAAUCCGUUGUAUAGAGCUUGAACUGAUGCAUCAUUUCCCUGUCAUUAAAUUCUCAGUUAAAACCCAUAUUUAAUACUACUACUAACAAAUUUUUAAUCAUAUAAACUGAAGAAUAAUUAAAUUAAUUAUAGACUCCUUAAUUACACUCUGCCAGAGAAAAACAAAAUGAACUCACGGGAUUAGCAGAUUUAAAGGGGGACCCGUCGACGAUGACUUCAUUCUGAUCGCCGUUACCGGCCAAAUUCAGCGGCGGCAUGGCCAAGAGGCCGCCGUUGGGGCCAGGAGGGGAUCUGAGGCCAUUUCCGGCGAGGCCCCGAGGGAGCAUUAACUGUUGAUGAAGCAUUAAAGCUUUGGCGCCGCCGAUCUGGUGCUGCCGGAGCUUAUUAGCCAACAAAACCGACUGGUCCUCGAGAGAACCCAGAGGGGUCUGGGACAAAGGGUCCCAGGGGGGCUGGGUUUUAAUAAGGUCAGGAGCAGGCCAGGAAGCGGUGGAGAUGGAAGAAAGCAUUUGUUCGAGGAAGUCGUCGUGGGACGACGUCGUCGAGUCGAAGUGGUGGUGGUGCUGUUGUUGUUGGCCGUUUUGGAGGUCGUGGAGUUGUUGGUUAAGGAGGGAAUUCAUGGCUUGCAUUUCUCUGCUACUGCUACUACCGGGUUGCAUUUUCUGUGAACGUAGGAGAAGUUCUUGAGCCUUAAAUUUCACGAAUAACGAGAGAACUUAAGCUAGCAAGUGAUUUGGUCUUCUUUCUUUUCUACUAUACGAUACGAUGAUUUUCGGCACUCGCGGGACGAGAGAGAGAGAGAGAGAGGACUUUAGUUGUCAACUGUGCUACGAGACUCGAAUAGAAGUCGAGAAAUAGUAGGAAGUGGCAAGUGAUGGAGGAAGAAAGGGCUGUUGUUACUGGUUUUUGAAGACGAGAAGAGGACUGUGAAGAAGAAGUUUUGUGUUUGGAAAUGGAAUGUUUCGAGUAGCCAUGUAUGUAGAUUUGUGGGAACUUCUUCGAGUGAAUAAAUAGUAGUGUGUUUAAGCAUUAUUAUUGCUUCUUCUGCUGUUUCUUUUUUCUUCAAAAAAAAAAAAAAAACUAGUAGUAUUUCCUUUUUAUCUUUUUUGUUUUUUGAGAUCUUUUGGUUGUAUUCUUAAGUAGGUUCUGUUCUACAGUUUGGGGAUUUUGUUUUGAUAUUGGAUGGAUUCACACUUGUAAGCUCUCCUGCCACUUACACAUCCAAAUCAGUGAAUCAUACGCGCUUUCGGUUUUUUGUAGUGUCGUUCUCUUUUGCAGAAUAUAUAUAUAUAUAUAUAUAUAUAUAUAUAUAUGUUUUUCAUCAUUAAUUGAAUGAACAAAUAAACUCUCAUACUUAGUACAUUUCAAAGUAUUCUGAAAAAUAUUUGCACUUUUCGAUUAAACUCGUAAUAAACUUUUGAUGUUUUUAUAGUUCAUGCAUUAUACUUUAAUUUUUUUUUAAAAUUAAAAUUUAAGGACAAUAAUUUAUCUCUCUAAUUAUACACAAAAUAAUAGCCACAUAUAACAUAAUUAUAUAAAUUUAUAUAUAAAGGUAAAGAGGCGAUAAAACUUUAAUAAAUUUAUACACGAGGUCAAGAGUUUAAAUCUGUAUAAAUAUACCAUAAGUUUUUUUUUUUUAAAUAUAUAUAUAUAUAGUAGUUUUAACCAUAUUUUUAAUUCCAUGAAUUUCAAAUAUAUUUUUACCAUUCACGUACGAAUUUAUAGGCGUAAUUUUGUUGAACAUGUUUUCUUGCUCCGAACUUUUAAUUAUACCGAAUUACAGAUAUAAAGAAUGGUAAGAGUUUAGACCGUACCGUUUGAUAAGGUACACUUUGUGAUGGGUUGUUCCCACUACUAAUAUUAUCACGACAUGAUUAUAGAUACUCAGUGCUACCAAAUUAUUGCAAUCAAGCUUCCUCUAUUUCCUUCUACAAAAAGCUCGAUCAAUAGUGCGCAGCAAAGUUUUUUUUUUUUUUUUUUUUUGGAUAAAACAUCAUAAUUUCAUUAAAAUUUACACUAAUGAUAGAAGUUAUACCAUCAAAUAUACACAGAUAUCAAAGAAUAAAUCUGAAAAAUGGAUGCUAUAGAUAUAAAAAAAAAACAGAUAAAAAUUAUACUGUAAAACUCCAAAAACAUAUUUUGUUCCAAUCCAAUCUUAAUUCAAGGGCUGAUUCGGAUAAUUGUCGGUUAAGUGAUUUGAUGAUGAAGGGCAAAAAUGAGAAUGACUUCCCUUAUUCAUUUUCUCAUCUUCGCCCUGUCCAGAAUGUCACCCUGAUUGCGAGGGGGUGGACAAAGAUUUGCUGAACCACAAGCGGAAAUUAGAAACUUGUUGGGCCGUGAUACGAAAGGCGCGGCUUUCCCAUAUUUUACUCUUAGUUAAUGGACCAUUAAGUCCUCCGAUGCACCCAAAAAAAAUUGCUCUCUUAAUGAAGGUUGUGUUCGGAUUGCAUUUUCUACGAUUUUUCAUGAAAAAAUUACUGUAGCGAUUUGAUGUAUACGAGAGAAAAAGGUAAUAGGAAAAUGUGAUCGUGGAAAACGAUGUAAUUUUCUGAUAAAAAACUGCAAUCCACACAAGAAUCAAUUCCAAUUUAAAUAGACAGCGGUAAACAUUGAAGGACCUUUGUCUUUUGUUACUUUUUAUAUUUUUCGGAAUGUAAAGAGAUAGUGAAGAAUAUCAAGGCCAUUCUUUCAAUUCUCUUAAAAGGUGAAAGAAAAAUAAGUAACGUAAUGUUGUGCACAUUGAUUUUAAAUGGGCUUAUAGGAUUGCAAGACUUUUAACCUAGAAUUAAGAGAAGGUAUGUUUAUGCAUCGAUGUAAUUUCACAACUACAUACAUAUAAGCAUACUUGCGUCUAUACUGCAUAUGCACCCAUAGUAGUAAAUUAGAUUAUCUUCGAAUGACCAAAAUCAUUUAUAUAUUUUUACGUUCAUGGUUCCCAAUUUUUUUUAAAAAAAACUUGGGUUCCCCGUGACAUCUUGCAACAACGUGAUGGCCUUAUUAAAUAGGCGUUGCUAUUUGUGAAUAAUACUUUCUCGUCUGGAUUGCUAUAUUUUAGAGUUUCUGUGAAUAAAUGUACUGUAAUAAGUAAUUUGAUAUAUGCGGAUCGAUUACAAAAAAUGAUUGGAAAAUGUAAUCGUCAAUAAUUUGAUAGAAAAAUGCAAUGCAAACACUUAUUCACGAUUAUAGUGAAGAAUGUAAAAUACACCAAUCACCAAAAGAUCUACGUGCAACUUGGAACAUUUUUUUUUUUUAAAGCAUCUUGCAUGAUGCUAUGUGUGAUUAAGCGUGAUUUGCUAGAACUACUAGUGAGGUGCAUGUACAUUGCAUCAUUUGAGAUCCAGUAGACAGACGAAUGAAUCGUAUUAAAUAAAUGAGCCAUGACUAAAAUCUUACCCUGUUGAUGUUACGACAACGAGUAAUUGAUUUAAAUUAAGAUUCAUAGAGAGAAUUAAAAAAAAUUCUCUUAAAAAUACAAUAAUGCUGCAGCAGCAGCAGCUAGCUGCUUAGCAGUUGAAUAUAUCUACAAUUAUUCUGAUAUUAUGGAUGCCUUCGGAAUAUAUCUACAAAUAAGUACAUGAAAAGUCAUUCAAGUCCUUUUUUUUUUUUUUUUAUCUUAUCGUUUCUUGAGAAAGAGAGAGACUUUACAAGCUUAUGAUCAAUAAAAAUCAGUAAAGCUAGACACUUGUGAAGACGAAGAAUUUGUAGGUAUACGUCCUUUUCCUGCACCUAUCACUGACUCUUUCAUUUACAUGUUAAGAUCCUUCUUUACAGCUCGCCACCACACAAACUAUUGAUAAAAAGAUGAGCUCCAUUGAGUUUCAUUACAAUUAUCAUAUCAACUGAAAAGGCAGGAAUCUUAAGCCAAGUGCACAUCUUGACAACGUAUGGAAAUAUUAGGGAAAAAAAUAUUAAUAACAAUUGAUAAGCUCGACAUUUCUUAGACAGCGAAACAUUUUAAUGUCUAGUUGGUAAGAUGUUUCUUCAUCUGUAACCGAGAGAUUACGGGUUCAGAGUCAUAAACUGCUAUUGAUCCUCUUAAUAAAAACGAAAAAACAAGUCCGAAAAAGCUUGUAUUUAUUUUUGAGAGAAAAAAAAAAAAGAAGAAGGAAGCGUGCUUGGGUUUUCCUUAAUGUUUCUAGAUUAUUUUCAAUUUUUUUUUUUUCCGUUUGACUAUGGAGUUAUCGAUCAGAAACAUCUAGCAGGCGGGUUUCUAAAUUCGUAAUUUUUGUGUUCCAUAGCCAUUAGGAAAGGACCAAAUCCAUUCGAAUUUUCAAAAUAGUCUCUUUAAAGAAUCACUUUUCUGUAUAUAUGUAUGUUAAUUAUUAAAAGCAAAAGCAAAAGAGAAAUGACUUGGAGAGAAUUUCUUGAGAACAAACAAACAAUGAUUGUUAAUUGAUGGAUGAUAUGCUCGUCCAUAUCACACAAAUCUUUCAUAAUCACGAAGGAUUAUCAACUGUCUCGAGAACUCUUUGAAUGACUAAACAUUCCAUCAUUGUUUUAAUAUGACGCACUAUAAGUAGAAUUGUACUUGGAAGAAGGCCAAAAAAAAAAACAAAAGAAGAAAAGAAUGAAAUAAUAGGAACAGGUAAUGAUAUUUAGAAAUCUUUCUAUUAAAAAAAACUAGAAAACGAAAACAUUACAUGGCUUCACAUAUUAGGCAUGAUUUCGUUUUCUAGUUUUUUUUUUUCUCUAAUGAUAAUUCACCUAAAACAGGAAUGAAAAAAAAAAGAAAGGAAAAAAAAACUUAAAACGAGAAUGACGGAGGAGGAAAAAGAAAAGGGUUUAUCCAUACUUGACAAAAAAAAAAAAAAAAACGAGCCAAUUGAUUAACUAGAAAAUGUAAGUUUAAUUAAAAAAAGAGAGAGAGAGAAAAAAAAAAAGGAAAUCAGCGAGCUUAUAUUCCUAUUGAAUAAAAAAGAAAAGUGAGAUGCUCUUUACAAAAGUAAAGAAUUAAUAAUGUAUUAAUGAUUGGAAGCAUCAAAUUCAAAUCAAGAAUUUGUAGUUACAUUAUUAUAAUAACCGGAAAAUACACUAUAAUUUGUGUAAAGGCGACCGUGCUUUUGGCUGUACAUAUAAUUGAAGAUCUGAUCAUUUAUUCUGGUCAACCCUUAUUGCCAAUAUUUAAUUAAUAGUUGUAAUUAAAGUGACAGGGGUGUAAGUAAAUUCUACUAAUAUUUAUAGCACAAAAGCAUAUAUUCUGUCGGCUACAGAUCCUAAUACCCAUCCCCUUUUUAUAAUAAUAAUAAUAAAAAUAAAAUACAUUCUUACAAUUUGUACUUGCAGUCUAACAGCAGUUUGUUAAUAUUCCAUUUUUGAAACUUUUGUAAGGAUUUUUCUAACGAGUAGCUCGAAAUAUUUAACGUUCCACUUAUUAAAAUAUCUAAAUUACACCUAAUUCAUCACGUGAACGUGAAUGUACGCACUCACAUUAUUUGUCUUCUGUAUUUAAAUGCUUUUUCAAAUUAGUUUCUCUUACUAAAAAAAAUUAACAGUUGGAACUAUUUAAAGCGAGUGUGUGUCUCCGAGGAUUUGUUAGCCUAUUAAGAAAAUUAUGGUUUAGAGUAACUAAUCUUGUUGGAUUAGCCGAUCGUAAUGGGAUUAAGUGCGGCCAUGUCAGUGAAGUGACACUCAUAUAUUUUGCUGUUUGCAUUACUUUAUUUUGAUUUCUUCUCUUUAAGUAUGAAAAUUGUGAGAUGGAGAGCUGAGUUUGUCUAAAUAAUAUAUUUGGAUUGAAAAUGUUUUUUUUUUUUCAAUAUGUGAUUUCAUCUUGCAUAUAUAUUAACUGAACUCCCAAGCAAGAUUAAAGACACAUAAUUUCUGAAUUAUCAUGAUUAAUCUUGGGAUGAUUCUCAUCCAAUGCUGUUUGCCAAUGAGGAGCGUAAAUGAGGAAUUUCAACAGAUACCUAAGAUCGAAAGAAUACAAGAGAAAAAGAUACGAAUACAUUACUGUGAUCAACGGAUGGCUAGUGUAGAGUAGAGACAUACAUUAGCAUACUCGUACGAAUAACAAAUGUAGACUUCCCUCAUAUGCCUCAAUUUUCAUCAUCAAAAUAGACAAUAGGAGGCUACUCCAUCAAACAACAUAUAUAUAUAUAUUCAGUGCAAAAACAGAAUAAUAGAGGUUAUUCUUCACCUUUGUCUCCGACGUUAGCUCCAGGAGAACUAUUCAAGAUUCUAAUUAAUUCUAUGUAGUUGCUGUGUUGUUGUUAACAACACACGGAAAUUAUUGGGUACUAAUUAGCUAUUGAAAUGAUUAGCCCAUUGUGUAGGAUGGGCAUGGCAAGUUAAUCACAGUGCUCUUGACCUUAACCAUCAUGUUAAUGCUGUUGGUGAUGCCUUGUGAUCCUAUUCCACUGUCCUUAAUUCCCUGCACAUUAAAAUCAUAUUGUUCUUAGAGAAGAUGUGGAGGAUAGACUUGAAGAAAUGAACAUUGUAUAGAUGGUUUCUUGAUGACGUGCAUGACUAGGUUAGGCUUGUAAGUUCACCUGGAAGGGAAAAUGAUCCGGUCCACGAGCUGGAGCGGAGUUAAUCUGGACGGUUCCCGUCUCCAUGGCAUCGCUGAUCAACAUAGCUUUGUUGAUAUCUUUGGUGAAGACACAACCCUGUUUUUUUGGUGAUACGGAUCAAGAUGUUCAGAAAAAGAAGCACAGAAAAAUCUUUUGAGGCUGAGAUAUUUAGAUGGUAAGCUAGAUGAGUUUAUACCUGUAGGCCAAAAUUGCUUGCAUUGCAAUGGUGAAUUCCUUCUUCAGCAGAGGUAAUCCUAAUCACUGGCAAAACUGGCCCAAAUGGCUCCUCCCAUGCUAUCCUCAUGUCUGGCCUAACAUGGUCUAGCAAAAGUGGCCAGAUGAGAUUGCCCUCUCUUUUGUAUUCCUGGCAAAAUGUUGCGCCCUUCUGCUUAGCAUCCAUAACUAACCCUUCAAUGAAGUUUGCCGAUGACUCUGAGACAACUGCAGUGAUAUCACAAUCAUCUUCGGGAGGUCCAACUUUUAGUUUUGCUACUUUGGCAUUUACUUUUGCAACAAGAUCAUCAGCCACAGAUUCCAUCACCAAAACAACCUUAACAGCUGUGCACCUUUGACCACUGUUAAAGUCCAACAAUCAGUUAGAAGUUCUGGCUGAUUACAAUAAAAACAACACGCGAUGCAGCGUAGAGCUCCAUCCAUUUCCUGAGGCAGCUAAAGGGUGUAAAAGGCAGUGCCUAAAUCUUGUCCACCAUUACCACCCUCUACAUUAUAUGGGAUAGAGGUUCUUCUACUUGUGAGGAGCAUGAGAUUGAUCCUAAAAUUCUGAAUAAGUUCCAAAACUUGGAUCUUUAGUAGUACGACCAAUCUAAACUAGCAAAGUCCAGUCAUGUGUCUACAUUAGAUCACUCAAAGACAUUGGCUGUAAUAACCUAUUUGUGGGGAAAAUUGAACUCUGAUAUCCAUCUCCACCAAGCAUUCAUUUUCCUAAUUUUAUGUUUCAAUUUCAAGUUAUGUUAGACAUUUAAUUGUUAUUUUAUUCAUCAACUCCCAACUUAUGAUGUCAGUGGAUGAAUAUUCUUUAGUGAGUGGGCCUAAUUUUUUCUGCAAUCAAGUGCUUUUCUAAUCCUUUUAGCCUUCAUGUUUUGACUAAUGCAACAGCAAUAAUGCCAUCUUCGUUUAUCCAAUUCAACCUGGCAUGUAUUCAUUCAUACGAGUCGCAAGCAUCUUUCCUUGCUUAAUUUCAAGAUGAAUGAUGAAGACAGCAAUUUAUGUGCAUGGCACACAGACCAAAAAUAGAGAAAUGGCGACUCGAACAAUUUCAGAGGUUGAAAUUUCAAUGUUGGUACCAAGUUUUAGAUUGAUAAAGCAAGUUUUCUAGAGCACCAUAAGCAAAAAAGAGAGAUGCUAAACCUGUAAGAAAAACCUCCUUUGACAAUAUUUGCUGCAACCAAAUCUAAAUCUGCAUCCUCAAGGACAAUACAAGCAUCUUUUCCUCCCAGCUCCAUUUGUAAGGGGAUCAUGCCUGCUUUCUUUGAGAUCGCAAUCCCAGUGUCACCGCCAGUAAAGCUACAGAAAGCACACAAUUUGUACUAUCAGCAUUACUGGAAAAAGUGGCUUAGGAAACCACCAAGGAUUAAGAAAUUUGGUUUACCUUAUACAGUUCACACCAGGAUGCAUGGUGAGGAAAUCACCAAUCUCAGAACCUUUCCCAGUGACACAGUUAAUAAGGCCCUUUGGAAAGCCAGCUAAGUGGAAACAAUGAACCAUAUGUAGGGCUGACACAGCACCCUGUAUCAAAGAAACAAGGCACUCUUUUAGGUAACCAAGUCCCUAUGCACAAGAAGUAUAUGCAUUGCACUUUUGGAGCACAUGUAGCCCAAAAAGUACGUGGAGAAAGAAUUAUUACUCGAAAAGAAACCAAUGAAAAGUCACAACCUAACAACUCCCAUCAAGCAUUCGAAUAGACCAAACUGUGAAUGCUUCUACUCCAUGGUUAUAUCGUUGGAGAAUACAUAACAACUAGCCAGCUUGCUUAAAUCCUACAUGCAGCAAUUAGUAAGUUGCAUGGAAGUACCUGAGUUGGAGGCUUGAGAACAAUAGAAUUCCCAGCAAUCAAGGCAGGUGCUAGUUUGGAGACGGCAAGGUUAACAGGAUAGUUAAAGGGGGGAAUGGCUAGGACAACACCGAGUGGGAUCUGUAUCACAAGAUUUGAUCAGUAUAAUAAAACCUCAGUAUCUUGUGAAACAAGCUUUCCUGAUUCUUUUGGCAAUGCUGGUCAGGCAAUUGUGAAAAGUAAGGCAUAGUAAUAAAGGAGCAAUUGAUGCUAAGUAUCUAAUGAGAGUUUUCCAUCACCAAUCAACUGAAUAUAAUUGAAGAAGGCCGCUGUUCUGAAGCUGCGCAUUAAAACACUCGAAUGCCGAUGACCAAGUAAAUUCAUCCAGAUUGGCAACUGAAAACAUGAUCUUGAACCUUUAAGGAAAUUCUCUAUUUGAUAUAGCUUCUUUUAUUUUCUAUGCUGGGACAUGAUUUCAGAUUAGGAAUACAUGUGAAGAUAGUUCAGUGGCAAUCAAGUUCACGGACAUCUUAAGUAGAAUUGCUGAUUCAAAAUGACAACGGAUUAGUAGAAGUCAUCUUAGAUGAGGCCAUUGCAAGUUGUGCAGGUUCCAGUCACUAAUUAGUAAGUCCAAACAAUCAACUAUCUUUGGCAUUAUUCUGCUUACAAUAGCAAAAUUAUGGCUAUUUAUUACUUCCCAACAUAUGACAAGCGACCUCUGCCAAAUUUUUGUGACACGAUUUUGAAACAAAGGUGGCAGCAUAGAAACUUUCAUUCCUCCGAAAAGAGAUCAUUUUAGUGAUUGAAUCCACGAAAAUUACGAUUCAUGCAAAAAAACCAAAUUUAAGAAGAUCAAAUUGCCAUAUAUAGUUCAUAAAGAUUAAGGAACUUCAGGUGUGUUAAUUCACAAUUUAUAUAUACACAUAGUACAAGAAAAAUGGAAUCACGAUCUGCAAUUUGUGACUGGAUUUUGCUACUUUGGUUGAGUAAAUAAACCAAGCGGUAAAGAGAAGAAAAUUUUAACUUUGUUAGUCCAAUAUUCGUGCAGUGCAUUGUGCAUCAAGUUUAGUAGAAAAUGAGAGCAAAAUGUACCUUGGAACUGAGGCAGUAUUUGGUCCUCUCAUUUCCAGGAAAACUAUCAGAGACCAAGUAUGUGCCCUGUCCCAAAAUCCUUACUCCUUCUUCAGCAGUGUAAGAAACCAGAUCUCCAGACCUCACAACCUUCAUCAAAUCCAAGUGACUAUUAUCAUUAUGUUUUGCUAACAAGAUCUUGAUUCUAUGUGCAAUGCACACUUGCUAGAGCAGCAAAUUUUCAAAAAGUACACAUAUCAGCUACCUCAGUGACAGCAUCUUUUGCUGGUUUUGCAAUCUCCUUUACUAGACAUUCUGCAAUUGGCGCUUUGUGCUCUUUGAGAAUAGCAGCGGCCUUGUGAAGCAGCUCUGCGCGCUUCCAAAGUGGAGUUUUGGCCCAUAACUUUUGUGCAGCCUUAGCUAUUUCCAUUACCUUGUUAACCUCUUCUUGUGUACAUGCUGGUUGAAAAUUUCAUAUAUCGAGAAUCAGAGGCCAAAUCUAGCCCCAAUCAAGGUUGCUCAAAUAAACUCGACAAUGACAGUAGCAAUAGUUCAUCUUACAUAUAACCAAAUUUCUUGGCAAUCCCCUACCGUUUCUUAGAGAAAUAAAAGCAAGAAGAUGUGGGUAAUAGUUAUGAUGUUGGAACUGGUCAGUUAAACAAGGUUCAGCAUUUCUGAAAAGGUGGAAGAGAAUUUCUUCAUAUCGAUUUAUCAAAAAUAACAAGAGUCCUUGUAUCCAACUGGAGUCAAAUUCGCUGGAUAAUGCCGAGAAAUUUCACAUAACAUGUAGUACUAAAACAAAGAAACCGUUUGACUUUUAAUUGUACAGUGAUCUCUUCAAGCAAGAGCUGCAAAAACCCUGUAAAAUUAUAGCUGGUGGGCCAAUUCUACAAUCAAAUAGUUCUACAGGCUACAGUACAAGUAGAAACCCAAAAGAAUCAAAGGCCAUCAUCAUCAAUUUCAAGUCAGACAUGCAUAACAAAAGUAAUACCUUGUACUUUGUACUGAGUUUUUCGCGUAGUUGGAUUAAUGAUGGAAACAGAUUUCCCAGAAGCAGACUUCUUCCACUCCCCUUCAAAGUAGUACUUGAACUCAUCUCCAUCAGUAAUCUCAGCAAAAACUCCACUCCCAGCCAUUGCUAAUUUAGACACUAAACUGCUUUUCCUCUCAAGACUGAUCAACCCUCUGAGGGAAAUAUUUAGCUUCAAAGCUCAGAGAAACAGAAUCAGGUUGUUUCUUCUGCUGCCCUGGGAGUAGCUACCUAACGAGUGAUGAUCACUGGUGUGUAUUUGGAGGUGGGGACCUAUAAAUAGAGGAAAAUGGUUAGCCACAUUUGGGCUUCAGGGAAUUCUGAGGCAUAGAUUUCUUGUUCUCUCGGAUUUUGACUUCAGCUUUUUGGACCAACUGGAUCGUGGCAGCUGUGGAGACAAAGAAAAAAAGAAAAAAGAAAAAGCCAAACCUUGGUUGAUGACUAAUCACUUUGAUAUUCAGCUCCGAGCCGUUGGAAAUUAAAUGUUAGUUGGCCACGUUUUUACUUGGUGUAUCCACCACAUGCAUUCAAAAUUUUUUUUUUUGGGUAAUAAUUUUGGGGAUUAAUUACUACCAUAAUGUUCUACACUUACUAGGUUGAUAUGAUAUAUUGCACAACACGACGUGCAGGUGUUUUCACUUCUUCCAUUGGAUUCUUUUUUGGUUCUUGUCUAUUUCUUUUUUUUCUUCUUCUUCUUCUAAAUUUAUGGUUCUUGUUUUGUUGAUUUUACUAGUGUUUUUUUGGUUUUGCUGGUUCAAUUAUGGUGUGAAUUAGAUAGAAUUGUGAAGGUGAAAUUACCAUCUGUCGGAAUUUGGACCAGACGACCAAAUUUUGAAACAAUCGAAUCUAAAUCAGUGGAAGUUGGCCAUAACUCUGUAACCAAGAAUUUGACAAAUACAGAUGAAAUAGUCUUGCUCUAGGUUCGAGGGAAUAACAAGUUGGAUGUUUCGGAGGAGCAAGUGUAAAUAAAAAAUUCGAAUUCAAGUUAUCUUGCUUACAUUUUAAAAAAUAAAAGUCUAGUUUUGGGUUUCAUCAAUUACAAGUUAAAUAUUUCAAUAGUAAAAAAAAAAAGGUGAACAAGCGUCAAUUUUUAGUAAAAAACCAAAAGAAUGUGUGUAACACCGUACAAACACAAUUCAAUGAAAGGGUAUCAUAAGCUUGAUAUCAAUUCCUAAUAUACAAAGUUUUGAGAUGUUUAAGUUGAAUUAGUUAAACAUUUUCUCUCAAAAUUAAGGAUGGAGCCAAAAGUUAAGCAUUUUUCUUCAUCCAAUUGGCUUGAUGAAAUGCAAUUAUUUUACAUCAUAGACCCUUCCAAGUUCCAAAAACCAGAGAAAAUCAGAAUAAUUAAGCAACAAAUUUUGGUGAAAAAGAUAGAAGAACCUUUUCUGGAGCUCGAGCAAAAAGUGAUGGUAGCAAGAACCCUUUUUUUUUUUUCUUCCUUAGCAUGAAUCAAGACAAAUUUUAAGAACUUUUCCAAAUGCCUUUUUUUUCCCCUUUUUUGAUAACUAUGGAUGUUCAUAAAUAUGUCAGCAGGAGCAGUCAACGGAAGUUGGAACCGUAUACAAUUCUUGUCCAGAUUAUGAAUAAAACUACAAGAGCAAUUCAAUCAAACAAACCCUAUCGGUUUCUGCAUGUUUCUAUAUCUUAUCUCCCUGCUACUGGGAAUGGGUAAUUCAACCAUGCUUCUCUUUUCUUUCUCUUUUUCUUUCCCAAGAAUAAAUGCUGUAACCAUUCUGUUUACGAAUAUUCUUUGUAUAUACUAGCGUGAUGGUUGAUCCUCCCCCAGUUUCCAUUGCAACGUUUUCAAUAUGUAACUUUCUUCUCAAAAGGAAGAGCUAGUAGAGAGUAGGGAGGCCAAAUGGACCAUUCUCUGCCAAAUCUGUCCUUCUCAUUUUGGAGCAUGAACUGAAGAAAAAGAACCCUCGAGGAGAUUUUCCCCUGUGGUCUUGGGUUUGGAAGGCCAAAGCAAAGUCCAAGAUUAAACAUUUUCUUUGGCUAGCUUGCCAAAGCAGACUGCCUUCUAAGCCAGUCCUCCUAGAGAGAAAUAUCACUGCUGACUCUUCUUGCCCUCGUUGCAACCAUCCCUGUGUAAGAUUCAGCACAUGUUCUUAGAUAUUGCUCCCAUGCCUGACCCUUUUGGCAAAGCCUCAGCAUUCCUACCUACAUUGGUUGGUCAAUUGAUCUGGAUUUUACAUUUUGGCUUAAAAAUGGUUGCUUGUCAAAACAUAUUUCUCCUUUUUAUGGAAUCCCCUGGGGUACUUUUAUUUCUGUUGCCUGCUGGAAUCUUUGGAUUGCCAGAAACAAGGCUAUUUUUGAACCCUCUAACCCCUUCUCCAUCCUGCACAAUACUCUAGUAAUGGUGGCUGCAUACUCCUUUCUAGGACCUAUUCAGAGCUUAGCACCCCUUAGAACUGAAGUGCUCAUUUUCUGGAUUCCCCCCAAACCUUCCUAUUUCAAAGUCAACACUGACGGUUCCUCCUUAGGGAAUUCGGUCCAGCGGGAUCAGGUGGCAUGAUCAGAAAUCACCUAGUCCACUGGGUAGCUGGCUUUAGCCGAAAAUUAGGCCAUGCUACUAAUGUCCUUGCCGAACUAUGGGGAACAAGGGAUGGGGAAUCCUUAGCUUCCUCUCUCAACUUGCAAAAUGUUGAACUAGAAGUUGAUGCUACAUCUGCUUUAGACUUGCUUAAAUCUGCUGAUAUCUCAACUCAUGAGCAUGCUUCAAUUAUCUCUGAUUCCCAAGUUUUUGAUCUCUGCUCUACCGAAAGUCACUCUUAGACAUGCUUACCGAGAAGCUAACAACUGUACAGACAAAUUGGCGAAACUGGAUUCUCAGCAAGAACGCAAAAUAGAACUUUCGUAUUCUAUGAAAGUGUCCCUCCCAAUUUAAGAAAACUAGAUGAAAAUAUUAAAGGAAUUUGCUUGCCUCGUUUUGUACCUAAUUCCUUUUCUUACCAAAAAUAAAAAAUUUUUUCUCCUAGCAUUGUCUCCACUUUCCAGUCAGAGGUAUGGAGCAGGUCAAUACCAAGCAACAGUACACUUUAUUACAGACUUUGAUUUGCAGAUUGAAAAUACUCCAUAAAUUCCAAGCUGCAGUUUCAAAUUUAAAAUAUCCAAGCUAUGUCCUCGGCACUAUUUUAAGAGUUUAGAGAAAUUAGUGCCUAUGUCUGAAGUGUCUUACUAGUUUUAAAUCAAUUGAGGAACACUUACAUUGUACCACUUGCAUCUUAAUUAACCAAUUAUUCUUGUUCAAAGCUAGAAUACUUAUCUUGACUACACAUGGUGAUGACUUAUGAUACAUAAAAUAAUAUGGUUCAAUGCUUAUAGUAAACAUCAAUCAUUUGAGCUUGUGACAAUAUAAUUGGAUGGUCUGCGAAUUUAGAGUUUCAAAAUGGAAAAAAAAAAAAAAAAAGUUAUGAAGAACGGGCCAAGAGUUAUGAAAGAAGUGGCUUCAUGAUGGAGUAGCUGGAGGAUAAUUUGUGGCUUUGGCUAAGAGUCGGUGGGCUUCCCAACUCUUUGGGUGUGGUAGAGAUCGCCUUCUCUUUUAUCCUCUUCAGAACCACAAGUAUUGGUAGGAGUGGUGAUGAUCCGCCAAACCGUGCAAUCAUUUAGAAGCCCGUGUUUUACCAAAAGAUACAACAAACUGAUAUUCUUGUUUCUUUUUUUUUUAGCAACGAUACAUUUGUAUAACCUACUGUAUCUUAAAUCUAGGAAGAGGGGGAGGGGGAGCCUAAGGAAGCUGUGGUAGGGAACUAGUGGGUAUACAGACCCAAUUAGACCAAAGGAGUGCUCUGGCACAACUCUUAGAUUUUUUUCGCUACAGGUGAGAUUUUGAACCCUCACCUACAGCCCAAGGUUUGAUAUUCUUGUUUCAAACCACUUCGAUAUUUCCAAACCAAUUUACCACAAUCAAUUUCUGUUUUCACAACACUAGUAUUUUGGAGAUUGAAAAUGCCUUAGGAACUAAAUAACAUGACAAUAUAUAUAUAUAUAUAUAUUUUUUUCUUGUUACAACAAUUACUUUCUAACCUAUUUCUACACUGUGAGAAAAGGGGAAGGACUCAAUGGUUUGACAGGGGAGCAAAGAGGGGAGGAAGGCACCUUCAAUCCAAACUAAAGCAUUAAUUAGUGCACUAGUCAAGACAAAUUCCAAGAAAAUCCUAAGAAUAAUGCAGGCUACCUCAGAGGGACUCGAGUCCUUCGCGAUGGUCAGUAGAUCAAGGUCUCGGAAGACAAAAUGGACAGUACCCCUUAAAGAGCAGUGUUUAGUAUUAUUUAAUACCUAGAUUACCAAUAUGUGAAUUUUUUUGAAAAGGUUAUAUAUAAAUGUACAUCAAUUUUCAAUUUAAUUUCUCAAAAAAAAAAAAAAGUAAAAGUUCGACUAUAUAGAGUAGGAAUUCAUUCAGGAUAAAAGAUUACCUGACCAAAGCCCAUUAAAGCUUCAUCAAUCAUCAGUAAAUGCUUCACCGGAUUAAAUAGCACUGGACAUCAACUAAUAAUAAUAAAUGUUCCUUAGGCAAAUCCGUUAAAUUGUAGAUUUGUUAUUUCCAGUGCACGUUUAAUUUACCAUUAACAUAAUGACAUAAAUCAAAUUGUGCUGGAUGAUUUCUAAUUGUCCCUAAUAAAAUUUGCUUUUAUAAAAUGGAAAAGUCCUCUGGGGACAGCCAAAAAAUUACAUUUAUAGAGAAGAUUAGUUUAGUCCCUAUGCAAUUAUGACAGAAGAGAAAUAGUUUUACAAAAAUACCCAUUUCUCACGGGUGAUGUUACAAAAAUACCCAUUUCUGACUCCUCAUAAAAAUGGUACACUGCACAACUUGGCUUCCAUAGGGAUCUAUAAAGUGUAAUUACUUUUAAUUAAUUUAAAUGGGUUCUCUGUAUAAUUUUUUUUAUUUUUUAUCGGACUUUUUUUUCCCGAGUUUCUCAUCUAAGUUGAUGUGAUUAAAAUUAAAAAGAACAAAUUUUGUUUGAAUACUUGUUAAAAGAUUGAAGAUGUAAAGUGAAUUACUUUACCUCGCCCAUUAGCCCCCAAAUACCGUGUCAAUUUUGGAAAAUUGAAAUAGGUAACUUGAUUAUAAUCUUCAGAAAACCUAUCGGAAUUUGAUUAAUAUGUAUCAACUUCAUAAUUUUGUCCUGUACAUAAUAAGUCUACCUAUCUCGAUUGAAGAUUAUUUAGAGAGAAAAUUUUCUCUUUGAUGCAAGCAAGCGAUUAACAAAAAGAAAAAAAAAGUGAUUGAAAAUAAUUUUUUUUUUUAAAAAAAGUAAUAAGGAUGGGUGUUUUAAAAAUCUUAAAAGAAAAAUGCCAAAUAAUUGCUAUCCAAACAAACUCAAUAAUGUUAGAAAGUUUUCUAACGUUUUGAUUAAUCAAUAUGUGAAUUUCUUGACUACAUUCUCUACAUUAUUAAUAAGUGGAAAUUAAUUUCCAUCUACUUUCUCCAAAAUCUUUUUGACUACAAAUGUAAAAGAGUUACAAGUUCAUGAAAAUCACGGAUGUAACAAAGCCCAAAGUGGCGUCCCUUGGGAUGUAACUAAGGCCCAAAAGUGUCCCACAUCGACUAAAUAGCAGCUCCUUUAACUCUUUAAAUACACCAGCUCCGAAGGGAGCGAACGUCCCUUCGGGGACAUCCGAUAAAAUUGGAACGAUACAGAGAAGAUUAGCAUGGCCCCUGCGCAAGGAUGACACGCACAAAUCGAGAAAUGGUCCAAAUUUUUUUUUACUAUACUGCCCAUACUCCUCACGUGUCUUUUUACCGAAACACCCCCUCACUUGACGAUUCAAGGUCGGUGCACCAGGUCUCAAGUCCACCCGUAAUACAAGAUAGCCCCCUCCCCAAAUAUAAUAUAUAUCCUUGUAGUCGGAGAGUUUGGUGUUUAUUUCACGGGUGGCGGGCCGCUGAAAUUCAUCCGGAGAGUUUCUUCGCAGGUACACUUUCUGUUUUCCAGCUCCGAUCAAUUUCUUGAAUAUUUUUGUGGUAAUACAAGCGAAUUCUGAUUUAUUUUUUGAAAAAAUGAUCACCAAAACUCAAAAAUUUCAAGUCUUUAUUCAAUCCCCUGAACUACAAAUCCCAACCCAAGCUCUAAAUGUCGAAAACCCUAACCCUAAUUUCACUUUACAAGAUCUCAAAUCCUCUCUCUUCGCCAAAGCCCAUCAAAAUCUUAGCUCCCUUUACUUCACCUUGAAUGGUAAACCCCUCUCUGAUUCGACUAAGUUACCGAAUUCCCAAAUUGCUCCUCUUUCCACAUUAACACUUCGGUGCCGCCUUCUCGGUGGCGGUGGAGAUGGCGGCGCCACUGGGGCGGAAUCCCGGGAUUGUUACCUUAACAUGUAUGCUACUAAAAAGCCCGAUAAAGUUGACCCGAAUGAGACGAGGCUGUCGAAAUGGCUGAAUUGUGCGAUUUCCAAUGAGCCGUUGAAGCGGCCGGUUGUGAUCGAUAAGCUUGGGAAUUUGUUCAAUAAGGAGGCGUUAGUUGGGGCGUUGUUGAUGAAAAAGGUACCUAAGGAGUUUUGGUAUAUAAAAGGUUUGAAGGAUAUGAUCGCUGUCGAGUUGGAUGUGAUUCCUGGGUUGGAGGAUGAGAGAGGGAGUCGGACCGGGGCAAAGUUUCAGUGCCCUAUAACGGGGUUGGAGUUCAAUGGGAAGUAUAAGUUUUUCGCGUUGAGGUCAUGUGGACAUGUGCUGAGUGCGAAGGCAUUGAAGGAGGUUAAGUCGUCAGCAUGUUUGGUGUGUCAUAAAGAGUUCUCUGAAAGUGAUAAGAUGCCGAUCAAUGGGAAUGAAGAGGAAGUGACGGUUUUGAGAGAAAGAAUGGAAGCAGAAAGGGUUAAUAUAAAGGAUAAGAAGGUAAAGAAGGUGAAGACUGGGGGUUUGGUGGCUAAUGGUGCUGAGGAUGGGUCAGUGGGAUUGCCAAGGUUGAGUGGGACAAAACGUGGAAUUGAUACUAAGGUACCUGACAAGGCUUCAGCCAAAGUGGAAGGAAAUUCCAAGCUCGUGUCGACUGGCAAAGUUGAGACGAAUGGAACAGCUAAGAGAUUCAAGGCUGUUGAUGCUGCCCCAGCUAAUGCCACGAAGGAAGUAUAUGCAUCUAUUUUUACUUCAUCAAGAAAGUCUGACUUCAAAGAGACGUUUACAUGCAGGUCACUGCCACUUGGGAGAAAUUAAUUGAGGUGGGAUUGUUAAGGUGAUCUUGUAGUGUUGUUUAGUUGCAUUGUAACCUGGGACUAUAUAUUGAUGAAGAAAAUGAAUUGUUUCCUCUGGUUAUUAGCUGCUGUGAUUUGCUAUACGGAAGCUUUCUGUUGAUGUAUCAUAUUAGCAGUGAUUGUACUGUGAGUAAUUACAUUGAUGACUUGCUUCCCUGAUUUAUGGAGUUAGAUCUGUUUCUUGUGGUAAUAUAUGUUUUCAUGAGAUGUCUCAAGUGCUUCCUUAUUUUCACAUUGUAACAAUGAUCCCAGCAGAUCAUUACGCUUUUCAACUUAGUUGAUGAAUAUAUACCUGAAAGAUUCUUUACUUCUAUACUGAUAAGAUUAAAAAUAAAAACUUGCAAACAUAAAUAAAAGGAAAAAAAUGGUAACUGUGAAGAACGAAGACUUCUCAAUAUCUUGUAGCGACUGUGAUCUGAAGUCAUUUUCAGUCUGUAGUCAUGUGUUGUAGUUGGCAGCUGCCUGCAAGAUAUGAGAUAGGCAUUUAUAUCUGGCUAGCUCAUUGUAGCAUACUGAAUCAUUUUCUGAUAUGCUUACAUUUGAUGAAUUAUUGUGUUGAAGUUUUGUUAACAAUGAAUUGUGGAAGUCAAAUUUUUUUCUCCAUAAAUUCAUUCUAUAAGUUUUAUAGAUUCUCCUAGCGCUUAAUAAUGCCAUUUACAGGAAGUCAAAAUUGUACAUGCUGCCCAUCAUGAUAGUGGAAUUAGAUAUAAACAUGUAAUGAAUGUUCCAAGGCGUGGUGACCAAGUGGUGGAAAUUUGGAGGGUGUCAUGGGUAUUUAGUAGAGCUGUUUUUCCCUUCUCUGAGUUGUACGUUUACUUGCUUUUUUCCUUGCAAAAGUUAGACAUUACCUUAAUUUUUUGAAUCAUGUGAUAUAUUGCUCAGCAAAUGAUUAUUAAUCAAGAUAAAAGAGGAAGUUUAUGGCCGACUGGGCAGAAUUAUUGGUUAGAACAUGAGACGUAAUCUCUAUUUUUCUUUGUUCUGGGUUGUGAGCUUAACAUCCCAUGCUAGCUUCUCGUGAGGCUAUUAGCCAACUAGUACUGCAGAACAGGAGUUUUGCCAAGUUAACUUUAGAAGAUAAACAACUUGGUGUUUUGCUUUCCAAAAUGGCUUGUUAAUCUUGUUCCCCUUUUCACAGUCUCUGAGCUUCAAUUCAAAGGGUAACUGCUUUGAAGCUCACUGUUCGUUGUAGUAGAUUUAGGUUCGCCGUAUGCAGAAGGCAAGUAUGUAUUGCAUGUGCAGAAGCAUUUUGGCAGUUCUGGUCUCUGCUGCUGGAUUGCCGCUGCCAUCAGCGCAUUAUUCAUCGCUAUAGUUGCCAUCCAUCAGUGGCAUUUGUCCCACCGCUACCAUCAUUAUAUUAAGCUACUCGUGCCCGACUUUUUUUAAAUUAAUCUCUUCAUUUGCUUGAUUUGAAAAGUUUUGAAUAUAACGUGUCAUGUAAGUGGUGAAUUUCAACUUUCAGACCACAAUUGAAAUAAUUGAGGCUACAGAAUGCAAAAGAAAAAGAUUGAGUUCCUUUUUAAUCUCUCUAUGUAGACUCUUAUGUUAUGUAGACUCUUAUGUUUGUAUCCCAGAAUAUGGUAAAUCUUUCCUUUUACUCCAAUCAAAUGGUGGCUUUUGCUAACUUUUUUUUUUUUUUUGGGCCUUUUAAUGGUCUAUGUUUUUUUUUAUUCAUUAGUCAUCUAAAGAUCAAUGGUUCUUGAAUGAAGAGAUGGCGUGAAAAAAAAAAGGGGAAUAAGCUGGGAGAAGGAGAAAGAAGGAAGGAAAGAAGACAAAGGAAAAUCAAAAUUAAGAUUACGAAGGAGAUUUAUUAUAAUUAAGCCUCACUUAAAAUAUUAGAAUCCCAUCUCAACUAGUUGGAAGAAAGAAUGUCAGACAAAAAUUACCUGUCUCACAGGAAUGAGCUUUUUAUCUACCAUUCUGCUGAAACAAAUUAAUCCGUUUGGAUUAGCUGUUUUUUAGGGAUAUUUUUAAAAUAUUUUAUUGUAACAAUGUAGUUGAAAAACUUUUACUGUAGAUGAGAUUAUUUCUUAGGCUAUUUUUUGUAUUUAUUGUAUUUUUUAAGGUUUUUUUUUAUAUUUUUUGUAUUUUUGAAGUUGUCUUUGGUAUUUUUUAAGUUAUUUUUGUUUGUGUAUUAAUGUAGCAUUGUAAAUUGCAAUUGAAAAACUUGUUUUUCAAAAAAUAACCAAUCCAAAUGGAUUGAAGAAUUAACUGAAGCUUGGUGUGUAAUCUACAAGAGUUGAUAUUUACCGCAAGUUUAGACUUGGCAUUUGAAAAAUAAUAAAAUUAAAUCCCUCUCGAAGUGGAUCUUCGUAGAUAUCCUGGCUUGUUAUUCAAAGAAGUAAAAGGUUUCUACUGAAUUUCUACUUUCCGUUUGUACUCAGAGCAGCCAAAGUACCGUGGAACCUGAAAGGAUCUCUUUUGAUUCGUAAAGCACUAUAGGGUGGGGAAAAAAAUGACAUGGGAGGGUCGUUGCUCUCGUUGAGAGUCGAACUCAAGACCUCCCGCUUACUAAACGAGUGCUCUAACCAACUGAGCUACGAGAGCUUGUUGCAGGUGCCUUCGCGUUCUUAUAAUGGUAGUAGAAUACAAGAAAUUCGUAUAUCCAACCAAAUAAUGAUCAAUUAAGUAAAAGAUAAAUUUUCAUUUUUACAACAAGUGAAUCUUUUAUUUUAAUAAAUAAUUGAACUCUUUUAAUUUAUACUUCAAACUAGGGUCAAUACUAAAAUUCAAACUUCAACUAAAUAAAUUAUCUUCUCUAAAAAUUGGACACCAAGCAUGUUCAUGCCAGCAUAUGAGCACUAGUACAAAUUACUCAGUACUAUAUCAGAUGGACAUUUAAAAUUCUAAAUGGACAAGAUGUAAUAUUUUUUAAAAAAAAAUAAAAAAUAAAAACUUGGUUACUUUGCUUAUGAAUUCAUUGCUUUUCUUUUUUCUUUUAAGUACUUUUUAUGUAUCUUAAAUUCUGUGAUGGUAGACAUACUUGACAAAGACUAAAAGCUCAUAGCAGUUAAAAAUUUGAAGUCCUUAGCACUGAAAUUCAUAUUACAUCAAUUCAUAUGUUCUCAUUAAACUGCAGUUAGAUAAACAUUUUCUUUGUUUUAAAUUUAAUCAUAACAUUUCCUUAGAUAUAGAUAGUUCGAACCAUGAUAUUAUAAAGCAGAAAAAAAAUUUACUUUGUUUUUUAAUCAUGCUAAUUAGUGGUUGUUUCUACUGGUUAUCCUCGCUAUCCAUUAAAUCAUUUCUUUUCUUUGUCUUGCGUCAUAAAGACAAAUGCAGAUAAGGGAUUUGGCAUUAUAUUUUUAAAACUUUUGUCUCGUCUUGAAAUUUUUCUUCAUGAGAAACAUUCUGAUUCCUGAAGUUGUGAUUGAGCCAGUUUUUAAACUCUGGCAAUCUAAAUUGAAGAUUACACUUCGAUGUCCAAUUACGCAAUUAUUCAUGGGAUUAGCAGUUAAUUCGUAAAAUUAAAUGUUUUGCAAGUGCAUGGCCAAAAUAGCCUUUAUGUAUUUCUUUAGCUAAUUAACUCCUCCGAAUCUUAGGACCAUGAAAAGCUAGGGUUAAUUGCACUUGACCCUCGUCAAUAUUACCCAAGUUGCACGUUAUCCUCUUGAAUUUUUUUAGGGACUUAAACUAUUUCUACAAACUCAAUUAUUUUUUCUUUUCUUUCCUAUUCGUUUUUUUCAAAAUUUUCAUCUCUUCCCUCUUAUUUUUCUUUUUCCUUUCAUUCUUUUUCAGCAUUACAAUAUUAUAUUUAGUGCACUCAUUGUUAAAAUUUGUAUAGCAUAUUUUAAUAAAAAAUUUAUAGAGUUUUAGUUACUUAGAUGCACUAAUUGUGAUUUUUUUUAAUAAAUAGUGCAUUUAAAAAUUCUAUUUUGAAAAUAAAAAGCUACCACCAACUUUAUCAUUUUAGCUUGUUUAACUUUAUACUUUUAGAUAUAGUUAAUUUCCAAUUUUAAUAAUCCAUAAGAAGCUUUAUCAUAAGCCCAUUUGAUCUAAGAAAUUAAAUUAUUCAAACACAUAUAAACAAAGUGGAACUCUUAAUUAACAAAUUUUUUAAAAAAUAUAAAAAAUAAAUAAUUCAACUAUAUUCUUCUUCUUUUAAAGGAGUUAAUAGUAAUAAUUUGUUAACACAUAUUUCCUACUUGCUCUACUACUCUAGUAUGUUUAUUAUUACUAACUAAGUAACUAUGAACUCUAAUUAGUUUAUAUGUCCUUAAAGUAUUGAAUCGUAUAGUAUAUAUGCUGUGCAAUUUAACACGCAUAUAUUUUGUUAUUGUAUAGAGUUGAUGAUGAAUUUAUUAAAAGUGAAAUGUAACAAAUAAACAAAUGGGAGUGGGGGAGGGAUGAGUUUGGUGGUAUGUGGGGGGUAAGUGUAAGUGAGAGGUUUCGGGUUCGAGACCUUCCACUUACAUAAAAAAACUAUAAUCGGAGAAAAUGUUUUAAAAGAAAAUUAAAAUAUUUAGCAUAAAUAUUUUAUUAACAGAUAGACAAAAGUGCCUAAUAGUGUUAGAGAGCAAGGAAAUAGAAAAAAUUUAAAAAAGGAAAAGGAAAAGUGAAAAACAAAAAAAAAAGUAAAAAUAAAAAUAAUUAAGAUGGCAGGGAUGAUUUUGUCCAAAUACAUCAUGAGAGGGUUAAGCGCCUACAAAGCAAGUUGAAAAAAUAGAGUGCAACUGGAAUAAUAGUUGGAGAGGGUUUAGUACAAUUAUCAUAAAAAAAUUGGAUUAUUUGUAUUAACCUCCAAUGAGGUUUCGUCAAAUUAUAGAUUAGGCCCUACUGUUUGAUGAUAUUGCGAAAAGCUCCUCUAUCCUGAGAGAUGUGUAACAUAUACGCCAAACGUUGACUACCAUAUUCUAAUGACAUCAGCAAGAUUAUUCUCCCAAAAGUCCCGAAAUACCCCACACGUUGGACUUUCUCUUUUUUCCCUAGUAAUGCUCAACAGCCAAACAAUUCCAGUAUCGCUAUAAAAAAACUUAGGUGUAUCACUAAAGUAAAUCAUUACUCCGACCAUAUUUAUAACCUCAAAAGUAUUGAAGUGUAGGAAAAUUAAUAAUAUCAAAUCUAGUCAGCUAAACAUUCUCAGUAGUCAUUGGCUCCGUUUGGAUUAGCUGUUUUUUGGGUUGUUUUUCAAAAACACCACUGUAGCAUUUCGAAUCUGAAAAACAAGUCCGUUUGGAUUAGUUGUUUUUGGGGUUGUUUUUCAAAAACUAUAUGAAAAACUUUUACUGUAGAUUUUUUUGGAUUAUUUUUAGAGGUAUUUUUGAAACAUAUUUUUGAGUAUUUUUAGAAUAUUAUAAUUUUUAUAUUUUUAUAUAAAUAUACAUUUAUGCAUUUAUAAUACAUUUAUAUUUACAAAUGUAUAAAUGUAUAUUAUUAUAAAUUAUAAAUUAUAAAUGUAUAAAUGUAUAAAUUAUAAUUUUUAUAUAAAUAUACAUUUAUGCAUUUAUAAUACAUUUAUAAAUAAAUAUAUUUAUAUAUUCAUAUAAAAAUAUAUAAAUGUAUUAUAUUCUAUAUAAUACAUAAUAUAAAUAUAUUUAUAAAUGUAUAAGUGUAUAUUAUUAUAAAUGUAUAAAUUAUAAAUAUAUUAUAAAUUAUAAGUGUAUAUUAUUAUAAAUUAAUAAAUUAAUAUAUUAUAAAUAUAUAUUAAUAUUAUGUAGAAAUGUAUUUAUAUAAUUAAUAUAAAUGUAUAUAUGCAUUAAUAUUAUGUAUAAAUGUAAAAUUAAUAUUAUGUAUAUUAAUAUAAAUGUAUAAAUGUAUUAUAUUAUAUAUAAUACAUAAUAUAAAUAUAUAUUUAAAUGUAUAAGUGUAUGUUAUUAAAAAUGUAUAAAUUAUAAAUGAAUAUUAUAUAAAUUUAUAAAUUAAUAUAUUAUAAAUAUGUUUUAAUAUUAUGUUUAAAUGUAUUAAUAUAAUUAAUAUAAAUGUAUACAUGUAUUAAUAUUAUGUAUAAAUGUAAAAUUAAUAUUAUGUAUAUUAAUAUAAAUGUAUAAAUGUAUUAUAUUAUAUAUAAUAUAUAAUAUAAAUGUAUAUUAUAAAUAUACAUAAAUAUUUAUAUAUUAUGUAUAAAUGUACAUUUAUAUAAAUGUAUAAUAUAUUAUAUAUUAUAUUAUAUAUAAUUUAUAUAACAUAUAAUAUUUAUGUAAAUAUAUUAUAAAUAUAUAAAAAUAUAUUUUAAAUAAAAUAAAAUAUUUAUAAUAUGUAUGUAUAAAUAUAUAAUAUUAGAAAUGUAUAAUAUAUAUAAUAUACAUUAAUAUUAAUAUAAUUUAUAUAUAAUAUACAUAAUUGAAAUAUACAUAUUAAUAUAUAUUAUAAAACAAAAUUGCAUAAAUAUAUUUAUAAAUUUAUAUAUAAAUAAAUGUAUUUAUAUAAAUAUAUAAUAUUUAUUUCAAUUGACAUAAUAUAUAUAAUAUUAUACAUAAUUGAAAUAAAUAUAUUUAUAUUAAUAUAAUAUAUAUAUAUAUAAUAUACAUAAUUGAAUAUACAUAUUAAAAUACAUAAUUGAAAUAUACAUAUUAAAAUAUAUAAUUAAAAUAUAUUAAAAUAUAAUUGAAAUAUACAUAUAAAAUACAUAAUUAAAAUAUACAAAUUGAAAUAUACUUAUUAAAAUAUACAAAUUAAAUAUGCAUAAUUGAAAUAUAUUUGGAGUUGUUUUUGAUAUAUUGUUUGGAUUGGUGUUUUUGAAGUUGUUUUUGAAAUACACAUUUACUGUAGCAUUUGAAAUGUGAAAAAUAGUUUUUCAAAAACACCAAUCCAAACGUACCCUAUAUCUUUUUAUUCUUGAAAGUAUAAAUACGAACUUAUUUCUUCUCGCCUCAAGAUCUUCUUAAUCUUUUUUGAUUGCUUAUUCGCAGUUCUUCUAUAUUUUCCUCAAAUUCUCACAAUGAAAAGUCGUUACACGGACAAAAUUGAACAAUGAGUUAUGCUUGAACAAAUAGACAUGGGGUUCUUAGACAUCAAUUGCAUUGCCAAUAAGAUGAUAUAAAUAAAAGUUUGUUGUGUUUUACAUUGUAAAGGGUGAUGGUGGGGCGGUUUAGAGUGGAAAAGUAAUGGCCCAAAGGCAAUCCAUUGAGGUUUAGGCAAAGGAAUUAAGGCAUUUUUGAUAAAUAAUUCUUAAAUGAGAGGGAAGAACAAAGAGAUUUAAGGCUUGGAGCAGAUAGAGGAUUAGGGAGAAUUGCUGAGGAGAGAGUUUGGAAGAGAGAAAACGAACUACAACAAGAUUGAGAGGGGUUACCAAUAGUGGCGAGUGCUUUUAUUCCAAAUUUUGCUUCUUUUCUUUUGCUAAUUUUUGGAGAUUUUGGCAAAAAUAGUCUUUUUCUAGAUUUCCACCUUUUUAUUCCCUUAUUUGGAUCUCUUGUUAGUUUUGUGAUGAUUGUGGACGAUUUUCCUCAGUAUAUUAUUUAUGCUUCUAAACUUUUUUUAUUUUAAUAUUGUGAUCUUUAACAGGAAAAAUUGAGCUUUUCGUACAAAGGGUACUUCUAUAAUUUCAUUGGUUCCGUUUGUUGGGCUCAGGCGUUGUUAGUGAUAGGGGGCUGACAGUCAUAUAACUAAACCACAAGGCUUGAUUUGUAUUAUGGACAAAUCUCAAGGAAGGCAGAUAUAAUUAACCCAGAAAAACUAGGUCAAAUAGUUGUCAAUGUCAUUUGAACCAAUUAAUUGACUUCACAAAACCAGGAAAAGCGAAGAAGAAAAUUGCUCACAUCAAAAUGCAUGAUGCCAUUAAGAUCAAAUUACAUUUUUCAAAGCAAAACGACUUACAUUAGAAUUCUUAGACUAUGAGGUUAAUACUACUAUAUGCUGAGUAGUAUUAAAAUGACUAGCGUUCACUUUCAUGUGUGACUAUCUUUUUGAAUAAAGUUCCAAAAUUACCUAAGACCUCGGCAAUUGCAUUAAAGGCUCUUGAUAAUGCACAGGAUGUACUAUAAAAUUCCUUCUAGAUUUGACGAGGAUAAACUUAAGAGAACCUUUACCUCCAUUCUAGCAAUUCCAUAUAUUGGAUCACUAUGUAAUAAAUAACUCAUGAAUCAGUAGUAGUGAGAGGUGUUGAAAUACAAGUGAUAAGUGGGAGGUCUCAAACUUGAGAGGCAUUUGGUUCGAGAUCUCCUAUUUCUACUUACAUUUUGACACGUUUUAUGUAUAUUCUUUUUUCUUGAUACCACCAACUCAUCCUUUCUCCCUUCAAAAUUAUUAUAUUGGAAGGUGAGUUUUUUGGAUGUUUGUCUAAAACUUUAUUGUAGAUUACUGUAAAAGUUUUUUAAAAAUUUUUUUGAAAUGUGUUUUUUUAUAAAAUAUUUUGAAGUGUAUAGUUUAAAAAUUUUGAAAAUUUUUUUGAAAUUACUAUAGUUAAAGUUUUUUAAAAACUUGUAGCACACAAACUUGGCAAAAAACUUGGCUUCCAAACAAUAUGCUAUUGUUAUCUUAGAGAAGCGAAAUGAUAUGAUUGAAAAUUUUAGAAACUUCUUACCAAAAAAAAAAAAAAAAAAAAAUUUUAGAAACUGAUACGAAACCAAAAGGUUUGAUGGUGUAAAACGCAAAUAAGAUGCUCUGUUUCUAGAAGCGCCUGAUCUGCAUCUCUAUAUAUACCCGACUUCACUGUCAAGCCCCCACUUUCCUGCCCCCGCUUUCCUGUUCACCUGAAUAAACUUUCACUUUGUAAAAUGCUCUUACAAUGUGAGAGCUAAGGGGACUUCCGAGGCCCCAUUUCGAUUUUUCAGUCAAUUUUGCCUUCCUUUUUUAAAAUUGAAACCUAGCUCUCAUUCGUCCUCAAAAAUCCCCAAUUUUAUUUCAUGAAUCAAAGUUGAGCCGCCUACAUACUUUCAAAAUAGCGCAAAAUUUUUAUCAACCCAAAACCCAGAAGAAUCCAUCCCUUCUGAACCAUACAAAGUUCGAAACUUUAAGGUCAGAUCUAUUUCUUGUUGCAUGUUUUUCAAUUCCAGCCCUUAGUUUAACUUGAUUUCUGUAUUUUUGUGAGGUUCUAUUUUCCGGGUUCUGUUCGAUUUUGUUGAUAAGGGCUUGUUUGGAUUUGUUAUUUUGUUGGUGUUUGCAGAUUUAGGGUCUUGGGUUUGUUGUACUGGGUUUUGUGGGUUUUGGCAAUUUCCUGCAAAUUUGAUGAGAAAAUGACCGUGUUGCCCAGCCAUGAUUCAAUUCAUAUAAGGGAAGUUUGGAAUGACAACCUUGAGGAUGAGUUUGCACUGAUCAGGGAAAUUGUUGAUGAUUACCCUUAUAUAGCUAUGGAUACUGAGUUUCCGGGCGUUGUUCUUCGUCCUUUAGGGGAUUAUAAGAACUUCACUGAUUUUCAUUUUAAAACCUUGAAGGCUAAUGUGGACCUUCUCAAGUUGAUUCAGUUGGGCCUCACGUUUUCUGAUGAGAAAGGAAAUCUUCCCACCUGUGGAACUGGUAAGUACUGCGUCUGGCAAUUCAAUUUCCGGGAGUUUAAUCCCAAUGAGGAUGUCUAUGCUCAUGACUCCAUCGAGCUUCUGAGGCGAAGUGGAUUUGACUUCAAGAAGAAUGUUGAUAACGGUGUUGAUGCUUAUCGGUUCAGUGAGCUCCUGAUGUCGUCUGGGAUUGUGUUGAAUGAUAGUGUCAGCUGGGUUGCCUUUCACAGUGGAUAUGAUUUUGGGUACUUGCUGAAGAUCCUGACGUGCCAGAACCUGCCUGAAACUCAGGAGGGUUUUUUCAAAUUGAUCAAGAUGUAUUUUCCAACUGUUUAUGAUAUCAAGCAUAUGAUGAGGUUCUGCAAUCACCUCCAUGGUGGAUUAAACAAGCUUGCUGAGCUGUUGGAAGUGGAAAGAGUUGGUAUCUGCCAUCAGGCUGGUUCAGAUAGUUUGCUUACUUGUUGUACAUUUAUGAAGUUGAAAGAGAGUUUCUUUCAUGGGACAACUGAGAAGUAUGCAGGUGUAUUGUAUGGUCUUGGUGUUGACAAUGGACCUAAUAGUACUUGAAAGAAAAGAAUAUCAACUCAUAAAUAACUAAAUAAAAAGCUAUUUUCUCGUGAAUGGAUGCCUACUCCUUUUGCUGUCCUCUGUGUGUUCUUGUUUCAUUAUUCUUAGAAGACCAGUGUUCAUCUUCAUUGAUAGUCAUUUUUUCUUUCUAAUUUUGGUGUUCUUGGACACAGUUGACUUGAAUAGGAAUCCUUUCAAGUAUUUUCCUUCGUAAAGCAUGCCUCUGCAUUCUUAUGGUACUCCAUUUGUCAUUAGAAAAAGCCCAGGGAAAAAAAAUGCAAAAACUAAAAGCAUGUGUGUUUUUUACCUGUAACGAUAUGAAUACGGCAAGUUAAGCAGUGACAGAGAUUAUGUGAGCAGAAGGCCUAACUAGUUGCUCUUGUGUCUUAAUUGUGCCUGAUUGGCCUCUCAUGUAGUCAGCAAAACCUGAUGAAAAAUACUAAACAUGAAUAUGUUUCCCGAAGUAUGUAAUUGUCAUUCUAGUCUGCCCACUACUGUCUAGGUUCUACGCUAGUGAUCCUUAUUAGAGUUUAGAAUUUGAUAUGGGUAUUGCAAAAUUUUCGUCCUUUUGAGCUUGGUUACUUCGUUAGGAUCAGGUCAUGGCUAGGGUUUCAUUAAUUUAUGAAGAUUCUGUAGAUUAUUUAAGAGAUUUGGCGUGGUGGUGGAUGCUACUAUUCUUGUUCAUUAUUAUCACCUGCAGCCAAGCGAAAGCUCUCUCUUUUACCAGAUUUGCUGGAGCUCAAAAGAAGCUGAUUUAGAAAAAAGAUAUUUUCUUCCAUCUCAUUGGCCUUACAAGGAUCAGCCGUCAUUAUGUCUUUGUACUCUGAAGAAUUUUCUUAUAUUAUGUUCUUUUGGAUAAUCUUGCCAUGUCAUCAUAAUUUGAUUUGUGAAAGAUGGUAAACUAUCUAUAAACCUGAUGGCAAGUGAAAUUCGCCAAGCUGGUUUCUUUUUUUGGUCAUUUAAUUUUUCUGCCUAUUAAGUUAUGGAUAUAGAAUUACUGCCGUCCCUCUCCCUCCCUCCAUCUGUCUCACUCUCUUUAAUGUACUUCUUCUUGUGAUGUUGUUAAUGCUAGUUACCGUAUUUGUCAACUAGAAAAUUUGAGAGCUUGCUUUCUUCCAGAUGUUAAUAAUGGAGGAAGGUAAAGAAGCUAACAUCAUAAUGUGCAACAGAUGGCAUUAGGGCUUUAUUUUGUUCAGAGAGAUAUCGAUUGAAAACAAGAUAAGCAACUAGAAAUAAAGAUGUAUCGAAAUAAUUGCAAUUGCCUUUAAACAGGUUCUGAGCCCAUCUUGUUCUUUAUGCUUAGAGUCACCUAUGAUUAAUACAGGUGGAAUUUAUAUUUUCUGAGAUCUAAAAUCAGAAAUCUCUCAAUCUUACGGGCUAUGUAGUUCUCUUGUUAGCAUGGGGGCAAUUGUGCAUUGUCCUUUGCUGAAAGUAUAAAAAACGUAGGAUAUGACACAUUUCCAUGGAGGCUGAAGAGAAGAGAGACAAGGUAAAAUGUGGAGGGCUUACAUAGGCCCACAAUAGUUGCAAUCCACAAGUGUCUAUGACAUCUGAAAGUCGUGGGAGUGUCAUGGUAGAAGUUCUUGCUUUUGCACAGGUUUGUUUAGAUGUUGUCAAGUACUGAUAGCACUGUAGGUUUCUUCUCAUAACCUAAUUUUUCUGGAUUUGCCAAUUUGACCAGGCAUAUAAAGUUUCUCUGAACAAGAUUACCGGUCUCACCUGUCACUCUGAUCAGGUUAAGAGUCAUUUACAAGAUGGCUGACUCUUUGUUCUGAGGUGUGGAUCAAUGAAUAUGAUGUUUGCAACUUUUGGUAUUUUCUGUUUUUGAGGUUCAUUAAGCAUCAUCUUUUCGUAGAAUAGUAUUCAUUUAAGUGCCAGUUUUAGGUCAAUUCAUUAAGUUUGCCUAAUGAGACAUGGGGAAGCACGGGGGGAGGCCAAGAAUGGCAGGAAAAAAAAUCCGCUUUUUGGUUUUGGUAAUACAGGGCAAAUAAAUGUGCCAUUGUGCUUAAUUUGAGAUUGUUUUUGCUACUUCUAUGCUCUAUUUUUUUUGCUUCUGGAUAAAUUUUUUUCUUACACACACGAUUGGGAACAUGCUGAGAGAUCUUUCUGACUUUGUAGCUUCCAAGUUACCAUUUCCUUGAACAAUAAAUCAGGUUUUUCAGUUCAAAUAUUAUAAAAAUUAGCUUUUAAUAAUCAUUUGGUUUUCUAGACAUUAGGUUAUCACACUUUCUUUUCUCUUUGGGUUUGUCUUUCCAUGCAGCUUUGUAGUUCCAAGUUUUCCCAACUUCUGGUGGAUGUUUGCAUCUCUUGCUGGUUGACAACGAGCUUGAGGAAUCCACUAAAAGGUCCGAGGAGUAUCUGUCUUGGUUUGAUCAGAUAUACUUGACAAGCCAGAGUUUGGAAUGUUUUUCUGGAUCUUCAUUUUUUAUGUUGACAAGAGAGCAAUCAUUUGUCAUUCUUGGUUAAACUUCAAUUUGCAUAUUGGUGAGUGGUGGAAUUUCAGGGGAGGCAUAUCUAGUUGUGCUUGUGACCUAAAGAUGUGAAAUAUUUAUUGCUUGUAAUAACCCCUUAUUAGCCAAUCUUGGAGCCAGCAAAAUUUAAAGAAAAAUGAUAGACAUGGUUUUUCUAAGCAGAGAUUGCAGUGCUAGCAUUGUAAGAUACUUAACAAGUUAUGCAGAAGCGUCUAACCUGUGCUGAAAACAGAUCCCAUGGUACUUAAGAUGAUGCUGUUGCAUGGACUUCUCAUGCUAUUUUGACCUCUAGUAUUCUGAUUUUACCUUUUUCCUUGUGUUUUCAGAAUCUUACAAGUUAUCCUUUUUCUAUUCCAAGCUUUGAUCACUUGGUUAAGCAUGAAGUUAGUCUAAGGUUUCAUUACUUCAUGAUUUUUAUUUUUUUCCAGGUGUGGAGUUGGGGUGGUAUUUCAAUUUGCUGCAUCAAGGGGAUAACUUUUCUCCACCAGUAUUCCUUGAUCUUUUGUCCAUAAUUUAUCAUCCUUUAUUCUUCCCCCAAGCACCACUUGGCAGCCUCAGCUGCACUGUGGAGCUCAAAAUAUAGUGGACCUGUUUUAAGAUGUGUUUUCUUCCAUUUCAUUGACAAUAUGAGGACCAGUCAUACUUGAAUUUUAUAUGAAGAAUUUCAAAAAAUUUCUUCCUUUUAUGCUGUUUGUGUUGACAUUUCCGCUUCAUAACAAUUUGAUUUUGGAGUGAUAGUAAAAUGCUUUGACAAGAGAUGGUGCCUAGGUUUAGCAUAAACCAGGUUGCAAGCAAAACUUGCAAAGCUGACUUCUGUCUUUAUUCAUUUAACUUUAUUUUCGAAUUAAUUAUGGACAAAUCAUUUCCUGCCUCCCACCUGAUGGUGCCCUCUUGAUUUUCUUUUGAGUUCAUUAAAAUACUAAUUUCCAUACUUGUUAGUGAGAAGAAGUUUAAGAGCCUGCUUUCUUUCAGAGGUAGAUAUUGGUGAGGGAGAAUAACAAAGAAGUUGACUUUGUGAGAGUAAUCAAGAGAUGUUUGCAUUCAUGCCCAUCUUCACCACCAUCCCAUUCCUGGCUUGAUACCAUGUGUUAAACAUGUUUUGGAUGACAUUCUGAACUGCUGAUUGGAGCUUGUGUUUAGGAUGGUUUAACCGUCCUUACCUCCUUUUUUAUCCUCUCUUCAUCUAAUACUUCCUGCAUGCUCAUCAUGCUUGUUGGUCAGUAGUACAUCAGAACUUUCCUUUAUAUAGCAAUGGUUUGUUUUGCUUCAUAAGACAAUCAUGUGCAGGAACUCUCUCAUUUUAUAAACACCCAUAAAAUGUCUUUUGGACACUAUUUAGGGUUCUUGUACCAAUUGUUUUCUUUUCUGGCAUCAUGUAUUGUUCGCUUCCAAACCUCAUAGAGCACCUUAUUGAUCUGGACGAUAUGCAUCGUGUCAGAGAAUAUGCAAGCCUAGAUAAAGUAGGUGUAGAAUACCUUGAUAGAGCAGAAGCUUUAACUUAGAUCGUUGGAUUUUAUUUACAUUCUUCUUUUCUCAACUAGGAAGAAGUUUAUUCAGCCAGAAUGAAGUUUGUCAAUGUGCUAGGUGCAUGAUUUUAUCUGUAUCCUGUAUCAAGGUACCAAGACCUUACCCAUGAAAAACGUAUCAAGUGCUUUACUUUAUUACUGAAGGGGAUUAAAGUUUUGAUUUUCUACGACAGUUGAACUCACAUUUAGCUAUGAUGAACUGACCUGAUGGGCCUUGAUGUUCACAGAACCAUCUUUCCCUGUAUGAAUAUGAAGCAAGCGCAAGUAUGAUGACACAUGGAAGAUUGUGCAGUCUCUAUUAUGAAUUAUUACUACAUUCCUGGCUUGCCAAGAGUGACAUGUCCCAGGUGUUUAGCAUUUGUUGUUCACGAACUCAUUUGACGUGUUAAGAGUGAGACCAAACCCUGAGCAGACACAAAUUUUCAAUGAAAUUUAUUGAAAUAUGUCUAUAUGAUUGUGCUUGAAUACGUGUAAUCUACAAGUAUGAAACAACAAACUUUUGAAAAUUCAUUUACUUUGAAUGUUUGUUACAGAUUUGCAGCCUUGCAGGUAGUUAGAAUUGCUGAUUCAUCCCAGUUAAGGGCAAGAAUAUUGGUUUGCUACCCAUACAUAUCAACUCCAGAUGCAUAUUUUCGGGAAUUUGGCAUUCCAGAAGCUUCUCUGAACUUCCUGCAGCUCCGGACAGAGAGAGGAAGAGGGGUUCCUGCUUGGUGCUUGCUGAAUGUCCUGCGAAUUUCAUCUGCACGGAUUGCUUAUGCAUUGCUUAGUGGAUUUUUGGUUUCAAAUAGCAUGUCUUUUACCCGUUAAGUAGCCUCUUUUUUAACCCAUUGUUCUGGAUUGCAUAAAUGUCAAAUUUCGCCUGAAAUGCUCACAUAUUCUUCUAUGAGAUUACGUGCAUCACUAGUGUGUCACCUUCCUUCGACACUUGAAGCUGGAGUUUGACGUUUCAUUUCGUUCAAACCGUGGAAUAGUUGCUGCGAUUAAACUUGUGUCUGUAAGAAAAUAAAGAAGGAAACAUCAUUUUUUGUCUUUGUGAUCUUUGAUUUCUGCAUUUUCUAAUCCAUGUUAUAGAAUUGACUGUUGAUGAUACCAAACAUUUUUGUUAAAAGAAAGCCAAAGUAUUCAAUUCUCAUACAUUUAACUCAUCCUGGUUAAAAUGUAACUUCCUAUGUUGAUGUCCAUAAAUUUCCUCAAAAGAGCUUGCGAAUUGCAAAAGUCUCCACCAAUCAUCUUAAAAUGGCACUCUAAACCGGCUCCUAUGAUACUUUUGACAGGUACAGAUAUACUGCCAGGAAGGGCAGUAGGUAUGCAUCAUGGACCAUGAAAAUGCUAAUUUUCAGUAAUCAAUUGACAGCUUUCACGAACUGCAAACUUCUUGGACUAUGAAAAUGCCAGUUUCUAAUAAUGAAAUGACAACUUUCACGAUCUGCAACUUCUUAUUGAUUAAUGAACAUUGAAAAGUAAGUAUCAGCCCAAUCUUGCCUCUCU